UGGAGGAGUUACUGUAUGAUCUAAAUUGUACAGUGAAGAUGGGUUUCUGUGACCAGCUACUAGAAUGAUAUGUGUGUCUAUUCGAUCGCUUGAUUCCAAUCGCCAUCGAUCCUUUCCUUUGAAGAGACGAGUCGGUUUGGCCUUCUGUUGUCAUCUUUCUUCCUUCUUUCUCGUGUUUCUAACCCACUCUGCAAGGCUUCGUCCCACAGUAGUUAUGUCUGCGACAUAGCAGAAAACUUCUCCGUCAAAGUCGACAGAAUUCAAUGCCAUCAAAUCGAACACUCGGCGAAAUGUAAGUUUGACUUGAAACCACCUUUCUUGCAUACCAGUCAAAACCUGUCGCUCUCUCCUCCUCCAUCAUUCAAACAUGAGUUGUCCUUUUGUACCCCAUCUUAUCCGCCUAAUACAGAUAAAAAUGGAAGAUGAUUAGUGAUCACCAAAAUACGGCUUGUAUAUUGGGCUGCUGAAGAAACCGAAGCAUAAUAACUUCUUAGAAGAGAACUUCAUAUCAUAAGAUUAAAAUUGACUUAUAAAGAUCUAAUAAAUAUAUUAUUAUUAACUUCAAUUUAAUUAUUUUUAUUAUUAAUUUAAAUCAAAUAAAGUUGAUAGGUCAAUUAACUCAUCAGAUUCGGAUUGUGAUAUUUGAUAUCUAGCAUUUGAGCAUAAUGAGAGAGUUCGAGUAGAAAAGUAUUACCCAUCCAGGCUUAGAUCGUGAUAAUUUUAAAUAUAUAUAAAUAUUUUUUGUUACUCCAUAUAUUAGUGGCGUUUAUAGAGAGAGAUAGUAAGCAAGUUUCUCAUAAUUGGGAGGUCUGACCGUUAAAAGAACCCUUUAAACAAGAAUUGGAAGGUAUUUUUUUUGGGCAUCUGAUUCCGAUUUCACCCUCGCUCACGUGACUGAAGGCUGCAAGUUAAAAAUAUAUAUAUCACCUCUACUUUACCUGACUCUCCGUUCUACUAAAUGGUGGGACCCUGUGGGUCCCUGAGUUGCUACCCAAUAAGAGAACGGGUAGUCGAGCGGAGCAGACAAAAUGAUUGAAUCCCUUUAAAAGCCGACGCCCUUCUCACCCUUCACUCUCUUUCUUCUCAUUAAUUUUCGCACAAUAUUUUGUAUUUCUCGUCUCCUCCCACCGUUGCUCCUUCGCCCCUCCCAUCGCGAACCCCCUCGAGGCGCUUCUCUCGCCCAAGCCUCUCAGCUUCGAGAUCUAACGGGGGGAUGGACCGUGGAUCGGCCGCCCAGAAUUCGCGCGUGCUGGAGGUCUUCCGCGACAUCAAGGGCCGUCGAGCCGGCAUCCUCAAGGCCCUCACCACCGGUAUUUCCGCCUUCUUCCCCUUUCUCUUUGCUCACAAACAUGCGAUCUUUAUUGACGCUGGUGUAUCUUUUUGUGGCUUUUUCUCUGCAGAUUUCGAGGAGUUCUACCAGCAAUGCGAUCCCGGCAAGUUAUUCUAUCACUACUACCUGCUAGUCAAGUCCUUUCGUGUUUUUUGUGUUUUUGUAAUUUAGGGUCUUGGAGGUUUUAUUUAUGGUUCGGAAACUGAAUCUUGUUGUCUUUUGUGAAGUUUUGGGGGUGGGAUGAGCGUAAUGCUAUUACAUGUACGGUAGUGGUACUUGAAUGCAUAAGACAAAAUCACCGGGGCACCUUACCGGGAUUUGGGGUGUAAUUGUUAGCGAUUUCAACUACAUAGUACGUGCGGAACCAGUAUUAAAGAAUUGAUUACGAUUACGUGCAGACCAUGAAUUUACCAGUAAGUGAGCAAACGUUGUUGCUAAGCUUUAGUCGAUUGUGUCGGUGUCUACCCGGGGGCAAUUGGGCUGUUUAUUGGCCAAAGUAGCUACUUAAUCUACAUCUGUGACUUGGGGUGGUACAUCAUCCCAAUUGUUCUUGAUUAUUUAUGUACUGCUACUAACUCUUUUGAAAACUAGUGGAGCGGUUUUAUGUUUUUGUCGGAAAACUACGAGUGACUGGACCUGGCUACAACCAGUUUAUAAGCAAAAUCUUGUUGUAUUUGAUUGUUCAACAAUAAUCACUUUUUUCUAAUCAUUAAUUGACAAUUUACAUGUGAAAACAAUGAAGAGUUUAAAUUAUAUACUUGUCCAAACAUGUACAAGCGAUGUGUCAUCAUCAAUUAACUAUGGAGAGCAUGAACUUUCAUUGAAGUGAAGCUUAGCGGUUACUCUCUUAUGUUAUGAUUAUGUUCAAGAAGGAUUUUUUUUCGGGUAUUAUGACUCAUUAAUAAAUAUUACAAUGAAUGCAAUUCCUACAUGGUUCGUACUUUGUGAUCUCUUGCAUUUGCAUCCAGUUAAGACAUGGCAUUUUGAUUGUACAAAUUAGAUUAAGAUAGAAAGUCAAUCUGAAAAAAAUUUAUCACAUACAGAAUAAUAAACCCACAUCAUAAUUUGGACUAACAAAUGGGUCCAUUUUUGUUAUCCAUAUGCUAACUUAAGGUUUGUUAAAUUCAAUGAUUGGAUAAAUAGGACCACACAACAUGUCACGAAGGGGCUUGUUCAUAAACAAAAUGAGAGUCGUGGUCAAUGGGGCUUGUGCUUAGAAUCAGAUGGUUGGGAAGCAUGUGAGCAACAUUGAAUGAAAAGGGAGUUGGUACUGUUAAAAUGAGAUGAGCAUGCGGCCUACAUUUGAGACCUUCAGCUGAGAGGGAGUGACAGACAUGCUGCACCCAUCAAUACCUUUUCUCAUUUUGGUAGACUAUAAAUAUAAUAUCAUUAUACAUGUUACAUUCCAUCGGGUGUUUGAAUGGAAGAGAUUCACAUCAUUGACUCAAAAUUGAAGGAAAAAAUUAGAACAAAGCAUAUUUGAUCAUACUUAUUGUUGCUUCCUAGGCUUAGCUAUUGGCACUGUGUAAUUUGUACUUAUCGGACACUUUGCUCAACUUCAAUUUAUUGUCAUCAACUAAUAAGGUAUCACCAAUGUGACUACGACGAUGGUCAUAUUACUGUUUUAAGAUCAUGAUGGUUUCUUAAGAUCGUAGUAAUUUUACAAUUAAGAAAGCAAUAUCUAGUCUCUAGAAUCUCAGCCAAACAACAGUCUGCCCUUUUUUUUUGUUGCUUAUGAAGUUAUAGAGCCAUUAAUUAUUGUCAUACAACCAUGCUUGUAAGUGCUUAUUCAUGUCCAUACUAAAGAAGUUGAAUAACUUCAUGUGUUGUGACAAGCUUUUAUAUAUGGAUAUUUUUGGUAGUUUAUAGGGUUUUGUUAACAUAGGCAUGCAAUUUGCCAUAAUCAAUAGUAUCUUUUCCAUCUAGAGCAAUGUGUCCCCUUUCAUCUUUUAUUUUGUGGCUACCUGCCAUGCACAAGUAUUUUAUAUAGAAGAGGCUCUAAUUACCAGUAUUUGCUACUGUUUACUUGGUUGGUUUUUUUGGUAGCAUUCAUGAUUCUGAUGGGAUAAGAAGUCGGAGGGCAUAUUUCAUAAUGCCCAUUGUCAAUAACUAGAUAUUAUUAUAUGCAUUAUGCUGUGAAUUUUCUUUAUGAAAUUAUUAAAGCUAACAGUAAUAUUCAAGAACUAACACUAAUGGCCACACUUUAAGCAUGAAACCUUGGGCUUACAUCCUCUUUUUCAUAUUGCAUAGCUACCUCAGAGGUCUUGUGGAAGAACAAAUUUCUUUGUAGAAAAAAGCUUUCCUUUUAUGAUAAUCACAUCAUUUUUCAAAAUGAUGUGAAUUAUGUAAUGACUUUCUCAACCUGUAUUAUGAAUUUGUUGUUCUCAAAUUUCUUUCUGUUAGAGAAAUUUGAGAACAACAUAGGUAGUAUGGAAGGAAAAUUGUCUUUUGACAUUGUUGAAAAUGAGGACUUGAAAAACCUCAAACUAGUUUAUUUCUCUUGGGAAGCUUGUUAACACAUGCAGAUUUUAAGAAAAUUCAUAAUACAGGUACAACAUAGUCUGCUACAACAUUAAAAUUGUUAUAAAUUCAUUGGAGGUUUUAUGCAAAGUUUCACAGGAAGAUCCUUCAUGAUGUAUUUAUUAUAUUCCUCAAGUAUACCCAAAUGAAGGAAAUCCAUGGAGUAAUGAUUGUGGUUGAGAGGGUAUGGCAAUGGCAGUGUAUAGAUCUCCAUGGACAUUAUGGAAGAUGAAUAAUAUUGGAGAGUGUCCAAAACAAACAUUUUUCUAAUUCAAGGAGAAAAUGCCUCAAUCUUUCAACUAAAAAAAUAAUCAAAACAUAUGUGACCCCUUAGGUUUACAUCCUCUUUUCUUCCUUCAAAAUCCCACCAAAAGGGACCUAUGGAUUUUCUCCAAAUGCUUUCCUAAUAGUUAAACAACCCAUCUAUUUUGGACCAUAAUCAUAUUAGGAAUCAUGCAUCAAAGACUCAGAAUAUGAUUAGAUCAGCUUUCUGUAGCUACUAAAAUUAAUGAUGAAAUCAGUCUACGAUUCACUAGCCAAUAAGAAAGCAUAUCCUAGGUAUUAUCAUCUUCUCCUAUCAGCUUUUUGAGUAUUUUAAUCAAAUUUUACUAUUUUGGGGUUUGUAGGAAUUGUAUCGGCCCUAUAUGUUUGGUUCAUCCUGAACAAGGACCAGCUACGGUGGUUUCCUUUUUGGUCAUGCAUAUUAUCUUGCAUUGAUCUGUUUCGAUUGAGAGGGGCCGCACCAUGGCAAGCAAGGAUCAUUACCUACCAAUUCAAUAGCCAAGCGGGAUGAUGACUACAUGAUUUUACCCAGUUUAGGAUAUGGACUAUACCAAGUAGGCUCAUUGUGUCAGACUUAUCGGAUGGUAAACAACAUGAUACCACGUUAUACCAGAUGAUAAGUUUCCAGUUGGUAUCUAAAAUCUCUGUUUUUAACAUCUGUAAAUGAAGGCUAUGUUUUUUUAUUUUUAUUCUUUUGUUUCUAUUCUCUUGUUCUCAUGCUCUGUGUGUGUGUGUGUGUGUGUCUCUCUCUCUCUCUCUCUCUCUCUCUCUAAUUUUCUUUCUCACUCCCCCCUCACACACUCUUUCUUUCUCCCUACCUUACCUUUUGUGACAAGAUCCAAGUAGCCGACUUUAUAAUCUGGAAAUAUGGCUCAUUGCUACUAUUGUGUAUGUUGACAUGAUUACUGAUAUGACAACAGAAGACCCUGAAGAGCCAGCAACAUUGAAUUACAUAUUCUGGCAUCAUUCUUGAACAAUAAAUUCUUCUACAUUAUUGUCCACUAAACAGGAGCAACACUGAUUUGCAACACCGAUUUACUUUUAUCCGGCUUUAUAUUUUAUUCUUAGCAUUUUGGUAAGAAGUUUAUUCUAAACAGCAAUUUAAACAUAAACAAUCAACGGAUACAAUAUAGUGUUAGUGUUGAGAAUAUUGGGAAGCUAGUUGACUUUCAUAAUCUUGCCCACGAGUUCACUGAUUGUAUUCGAUAUGUUUUGCAUGGUUGUAGAUUUUAACCAAAUAUUACUUUAUUGCAGCAAAAGAAAAUCUGUGUCUCUAUGGUUUUCCCACUGAGCAGUGGGAGGUUGAUCUGCCUUCAGAUGAAGUUCCUCCAGAGAUUCCGGAACCUGUUUUGGGUAUUAAUUUUGCUAGAGAUGGAAUGGAAAAGAAAUCCUGGUUAUCCUUGGUUGCUUUACACAGUGAUGCAUGGUUGCUUGCUUUAGCAUCUUAUUUUGGUGGUAGAUUUCAGUUUGAUAAAAAACAGAGGUGAGUAAAGAUGCAAUUUAUUGAUUGCUUCUUUCAUUAAAAAACAAAAUUACUUUCAAGUACUUUUUUGUUAACUACUUUUCAGUUCUAGCUGAAUUUGGUCUGAGAAUUUAGAACUUUGUUAAGUUGUUGUUCUGUGAAAUAUGAAAUUUAUCUUCUUAUCACUGUGAGUUGUAGUUUAGAACGUUGAUCUUCUUGGUGAGUUGUAGUUUAGAGGUGAUUGUAGUUUCUAUGAAAUCUAUCUUCUUGUCACUGUGAGAUGGACAAUUGUUCAUCUUCUUGGUGAGUUGUAGUUUCUAUGAAUCAGAUGGUGAACCGGCAAACAAUUGUUCUUGGUGAAUUUAUAAUGUUGAUCCUCAAGAAUAACAAUUCCUGACGUCCCCAGUUCUUUAGCAAGUUUUAUAGAAACAUAUUACUUGAUUGCUACUCUUUUAAGUAAAAUUCUUUAUCAAUUAUAAAAAGGUCUGAUGAAUAGAUUGCCUAUGGAAUUUAGGUGCAUUCUCUUUCAGAAAGUCAAGUAAUCUACAGUAGUUUCAUUUGAUUGAGUUGAAAAAAUAGUCUCUAGACUGAAUAUAUUGAUUCUCCCCAAACCCCACAUUGACGGGAGCCUACAUAAGUACAUGGGGCUGCAUCUACUACUGUAAUGGUUCAAACAUGAAAAUUACCCAAAGUUGAUGAGUUUGUAAAGGUGACUAUACCAAGCUUCCUUAUAUGCACAAUUGCUUUCAAUUAUUAAACUUGCUCGUCUUCAAUAAAUAACCUUUACGGCCAGUUCUGCUUUUUGUAUAGUUCCUAAAAUUGCCUUUCACAUUAAGAAUGUUCAUGCUUCUGAGGUUGUUUAACUAUAGAGUGAGAUAAGAAAAAAUAUAGCAUUAUAUUAUUUUUAGCUUUACAAUAUACCAGAAUUUGUUGAGCUGUGAUGAAGAUAUAGAGUUUCUGAAAGUGCCUUCCUCCUGAUUUUCUGUGCUAUGUUUAUUCUUUUGUAGUACAGGACCAUUGAAACAGAAAAGCAAACACUUACCAUACUCAUUAAUAAUCUGAUUAAAUAAAGACCAUUUCUGAGAGUGAUAUGUACUCUCCAUACACUCAUCAUCUCUAUCUAAUUUGGUCUUUUUAUGCUCCUAGACUCCGUCGUUUUUCUACCAGUACACACCUAAAUCUUUUGUCCUUUCUAGCCUUUAUUAUAAGGAGCAUACAUAUUGCUCCACAUGCAUUUACUAUUUAUAAUAAGAGGUCACUUAGGUCAGUUUAUUGAUUUGCCAAGGUCACGACAGGCUUAGGUGUUUGGCACUCAGUCUAGGAUGUGGGGGAGGAUGGAAGGAGCCAUCAUGGUUGGAAUAUAUACAUAGGGACUGUAUGCCAUUUGAUCGUCUGGCUAGGAAAUGGGACAAAAUUAUAAACACCUUUGUCUUCUUGCAUUGGUGCCCAGAGAUAUCACUUUGUUAUACAACAUAAAUUUGAUUCUGAUUUGUUAGUUUUUUCACUUCAAUUUGCUCAAGUCAUGUUGGUAAUAAAUUAUUUGUAUCUUCUUGUAGUGUUAACCUGAGUUGUCCUGUAUAUCUUUCUUUAUUAAUAUUAAUGUCCAAUUUGUUGUAAAGAAUAUGAUCAUUUGAAAGAAGACCUGGAUGAAUUAAUUUCUGUAACUAACUAGACUCUAAGUUUUAUUAUGUUAUUUCAUUAAUAAACUAUGUUCACUACAAACUGGAAUAUAUGCUGUUAUAUAAGCAUCCUCCAUUGCUUGAUAACAUAUUAGGCCCCUAUUUUGUACUCAUUUGAAAUGAUCUAUAAUUUUCACUUAAGUUCAGUAGGUUCAGACAAAUCAAAUUCCCUGAAGGAACUUCUUAGGUUUAAAGAAAUAUUGUUAUUUCCUUUCUAGAGACAUUUGAAGAAAUUAAUCGAUUGUGGCCGUCUGUUUGCUUCAUAUAUCCUACUGUUAUAGUUGGUGCUCACUGUGCCUCCUGCCUAAAACAUUACAUUGACCACUUAAAUCACAUUAUUGUUUCCAGCAUGGAUUUGUGGAAUUUAUGUUGAUCACUUAAAUCUAAGAAUUCGCUCUUUAAUUAAUCUGAGCAUCCCCUGUGCCUUUCCCUCUUAAUCCAUCUUAACAUUCUUGCUCUGGAUGUCUAUUUUGUGCUAGGAUUGUUCAUCAUGUAAGAAGGUAGUUUUAUUGUUUUAUUCCUCAUUGAGGAGUUUACAAAAAUUUAAGCAAAUUUUCAUGUCGGAUUUGUGAAAAUGCAUGGGUAAGAUAUAGUGCAUAAGAUCCAUCUUCAGAGAAAGGCACAGAUUAUAUUUCUCUUUAACUCCUAAUGACACACUUUCCGAUUGUCUCUAAUAGCCUAGUAAAAUACUUCUCAAAAUUGUGCAAAUCUUACUCUUUCUUCCAUUUUUAUAUGUGGUAACUCUCUCUCUCUCUCUCUCUCUCUCUCUCUCUCCCCUCACCGUUUCAUUAAAAAUGGUGCUGCUUUCUCCUUAUUUCUAAUUAGAUGAUGUUUAUUUAUUUUUUAUAAGAAGCCAUAAAAGAAAUUUGCUUUGUUUUCUGUGAUGCAGGAAAAGCCUUUUGGAUAUGGUAACUGAUCUGCCUACCUUAUGCGAAAUUGUAAGUGGAAAGAAUCAAGAGAAGUCCUCUGGUUCUAAAAACAUCAGUAACAAGUCCAAAUCAAAUUCCAAAUUGGUGAGGAAAAUUUCAGAUGUUUUCUUUUUUGAAGACUCAAAACUUCCAUUUUACUUGUUGACCAUGCAAAGGAGAUUUUAAUUGGGAAGUUUCGUUCCACUCAAUCAUGACAUUACAUUUCUUGUAUGCUAGACUAGCAUAUAUGCCAUAUAUAAGAUAUAACAGAGUGUGGUAUUUGAUUCCUUGAUAUAACGUAUGGUCGUAUACUGUUUGCUUUUCGCUGGAGGAGUGCAAGAUCUUACAUGGUUUUGUUAUCCAAAGAUGAUUUAAUCAGUUGGUACAAAAAAAUGCAAGAGACUCUUGUUUAAGCAUUACUAAAACCGAGUAGUUUCUUUAUUGCUGCCUUAAACACCUUUUUCGAGGAUUGCUCGUACCACUAAAUGAUGGCUUUCCUAACCUGCCUCCGUAUGGCUUAGGUGCAUUUCUCACUGUACAUGAAGUGGUAACAAACUCCCCAGUGAAGCACUGAAGGGAACUGGCGUUUAUCGGAUCACUUUACAUGAAAAGCAAACUUGUGAUGACCUUAAUACAAAUAUCACUUCUUGUUUCUUAGGAUUAGAGAUUUUGGCAUUUUGCAUUUCUCUGCUGAAUUGACAAAAAGUGGGAAUUCGGCACAUAUGUUAGCAAAAACAAUGUACCAUUUAAGGUUUCACAAUAUAUAGUCAAGUUAGCCGCUUGUUCUGUUGGGAUCUUGCAGAAGGCAUCAGAAUAUCAGGCCAAGAACACAAAAGCAAAGCAUGCCAAGGAAGAGGACGAAGACUUAAUCGAGGAGGACGAUGAAGACAAUUAUCUCUGUGCGGCAUGCGGCGAGAGCUCUGUACCAGAUAACUUCUGGAUCUUCUGCGAUACUUGUGAGAAGUGGUUCCAUGGGAAGUGCGUGAAGGUCACCCCUGCAAAGGCUGAGCACAUCAAGAAUUACAAGUGUCCAUGGUGCAGCAACAAGAGGAUGCGGACCACGUAAAACCAGCAAUGGCAAGAACGCCACAUUAAGCUUCUCGUUUUCCCUUGGUUGGCAUCUUAGCAACCGUGACAACAUUGUAAAGCUUUGUAGAGAAGUUGCAGUUUACGUAAACUGCAGGCAUUACACAACCAUCGCUCGUAAUGCAGAAAUUACUAAUGCAUAGUUAACUCUGAAAAUUUGUACUGGAACUCCUCGUUGGUUCUACUAGCUCAGGUAGGGCAGUUUGCAGACUGAUCUCAGGAUACCUUGUUUAUUCGUGUAUCAAGUAUUCUAAUUAAUUAUGUAACAUAUAGAUCCGUUCUUUCAUGCAUGCUGCUUUUAUCUUUUGGAUUAAACAGAGUUGUUAUUUAGCUAUGUACGGAAAUAUAGAGUUAAAAAUCCAUCUAUUGCCCUUCGUUUUUAGUUAAAAAAUCAUAUUCAUGAACAAUCAUAUUGUCCUUCGUUUAAAUGUUUAUUUGUGGAGCUCACAAUUAUUUGUGUCUAUUACUUAGUUAGAAAGAUUGUGGAAGCUAUGAGAAUUUUAUUUGGGUACACAUCUUUGUUGCUAAAAUGUGGUACAUUAGUUAGACUAUUGGAAUACAAGUCACAUUAAAGGAAGCUUUUUCAAACAAAUUGAUAAUGGUGCAAAAGAAGUAUAUCUACCAUGAUUCUAUGAUUCUUUUAGGGUUAUUUCUCAAGAAAAUCUCAAGUUUCGGGUUUUCUCUUUCUUUUCUUUUUUUUAUAUUUCUCACGAACAGCUCCUCCUCUUUGUAAUGGGUUAAUCGGUCCAGUAGUAUUACACUAUUUAUGAAUAGAAUUACAAUACUUUCUGCUUCGAUAUCGACGAAAGUGAUUUGUGCACCCGUUUUGGCAAAUAAGAAGGAUCAACCUUUGUUCUCUUCUCCCCCAAUCCAUCUUUUCUCUCACUCGCUGAUUUAUUUUUAUCCCUGGCAAAAUAAUUCUUAGUCCGCAUAGGAAUCAAAAUUCAAAGUCUGGGUCGAGCCAACAUAUUUUAGGUAACACGAGUUGAAUCAACAUAUUAUAUCUUUACCAUUCACAUUAUUACCUAAAGAAAUCCGUAAACCUUUCUGGGGUAACCUAUCAGUCCAGUCCCUAAUGUUACUUAAAAAUCAAAAUCGCAGCAUCCACGUACUAAUUCCUGUCUCAAGUGAACAGCUAAACAUGCAACAGCAUCAAGAUAUAUAACAAACGUCACAGCUACAAAUCAAUUUCUUUCCCAUAGCAAGUUAAAAAAAAAAAAGAACAGAAUGCAAUUCAACCAUCAAACCAACAUUGGUUAGGAAGAAAACAUAGUAAAACAAGUUUCAGACUGCAAAAUAGACCAAAAAAGCUAAACUUUUUUUUGUUUUUGAAAGCAAAAAGAGACCUCUUCCCAGAACCAUUAUACCCCAGCAAACCAGGGAUCAUCAGACGAUGGCUACCUCUGGAGCCAAAGUUGGUGUUGGCCUGACAUAUUCAUCUUCGUCCUUUGGUGGAUGAAUGGUGACGAGAUCUGGCAGAGGCGUAGUAGGACCUUGCUUUCCCUUUGGAUCCCAAUCCAACAUAAUUUUGACCUUGAUUCCGAGAACACCCUGUGCAAGACACAACACAGCGUUGCAGGAAUACAAUAUUAUAUCGGCUAUUUGUUAAAACAGACCAUAGAACAGAAACUUUGAGUCAACAACUAAUAUUUAGUGUAGUAAAUAUUACCAUAGUAGAUAACAUAAUAGAAUUGACAAAGAAAAUAAAAAAAAAAGAGGUAGUAUGACAUCUUAAAAACUUCCUACUAGUUUCUUCUGCAAGGAUGGACAUUAAGUAGGAAAUAGAUCGACAGCUUGAUCGUGCAAAGUGAAAGAUGCAAACAUUAAAUCUUAGAAGCUCACCUGUCUUAGGAGAACAUGCCUCACUGCAGAGUCAAUAUAUUCAUUGACCGGCUGACCAGAAGAAAUCAUAUACCCAUCCUUGAACUUCAUGGACUUGGCACGCUGAGCCCUGAGCUUUCCGCUUACAAUUACCUACAACAUAUCAAGGAAUAAAUCUCCAAUGUCCAUAGGAAACCUCACUGCUGCUUUAGUUCGAAAACAUACCUCACACCCCUUUGCACCACUCUCCAUGACAAACCUCAGGACACCAUAACAGGCCCUAGAACGAUACAUAAAAAUAUCAGACAACUUUAACUCCAAAAGCCUCUUCAUAAAUUACACACUCCAAGGAGCUGACAAUCAUAACCUUUGAAGUUCACAAUUACAAAUGAAUAUUACGCAUAAUUCAAGAUCAUGACUAAACCAUAUUACCAGGCACUAUAAAUACAGAAAAUCAUGUCACAGAUAAGACAGGUCAAAAAGCAGAUUAAAAAAAUUUUCAGCAAUUUCAUAGAAAAAAAAGGACAAAAUCUCAAGUGAUACAGCAACUAAUAGUACUAAACAAUUAGAUUUCUCUUCUUUUUUAUCAUCGAUCAUACAUUGAACGACACAAAAUGAGAUUUGUUCAAACAAAAAAGAAACCAGUAAAGCAGAAAUGAGACAGAAAAGAAAACCAAAGGCAGUUAUCUCUAGAUAAUACGACCAAUCAUAUUAACCCCAAAAACAAGGAUGGCAGAUAUUGGCAACUAACAUCAGUCAGUCUAAAUAGAUUUUAAAAUUUAUCAAUUAGCCACUUUAAUACCAAUAUAGCAAAGAUAUGUUGGAGCGUAUUCCAAACUCCAAGCAUACAAGAUACAAGAAGCCUGACAAACUCCAUAACUCAUUCUAUGAGCAUCAAGACGAGCCAUCAGAGCAUACACUGCCCAGCAGCAGAAUGAACAAUAACAAAUGCUCAAUUAGUUACAAAACAAUAACCAGGAUGAAAAAAUAUUCACAGCAGAAGAAAUCAAGAAAACAAACAAUAAUCACAUUCAGAAACAUAAAGCAAAAUAGUAAGUGUAAAAUAAAAAAACAAAGCUAUGUAAUCACACACACAACCACACACACACAGCAUUGGCUCAGCAAUAAAUUAGCAUUGUAUCAAACAAACACAGAUCCAAUGCUACUGCUGAAAAAUAUAUGAUCGCUUUUUAUACCCAUCAAAGUUGAAAGAUAUUGUAUAAUGAUCCAACUAGCUUUUCUUUUAUUUGAGAAAAUUAAAUUCAAAUAUCUAUACAAAAAAUAAUAUUGAAAGGUUCAAAAAUCAAAACCACGAGAAAAUUUAAAAAAAGGUCCAGAAAUGAUCAGCACAAAUUUUGCCAGGAGCUUAUGCCAUGAGACCAAAAAAUUAUCAUGAACUAAACUGCAUCCAUGGCAAUCUUGAUUUUGUCACCUUCCGACACAAAGUUGGUAAUGAGUAACCUAUUUGCUUUAUAGAUGACAAUAAUAAAAAACACUAAAAACAGACUUGGUGGCAAGGCUCCAGCCAAUACCAAGAUUGGGGAAGAUUGAUGUGCACAACCUUACUCCUAGAAUCUUUUUUCCCUGAGACUCAAACCCUUGUCACCCAUUUAGGAGGAAACAAAGUGUCACAGUAAAUAACAUAUUUAAACAUUAAUUUAGCUUCACAUGGACACUUAAAAUUUGUAAAGAAACAGCUGACAAAACACAUAACAUAAAAAGAUAUAGCGACUAAGGGUAGCAUAUAUGAAUAUAUAUUCAUAUCAGCACAUGGUAACAUCAUAAUCCCUCAGCAUGUUCAUGACAGUGCAAGGUAAAACAAAUUUCCUACAAUACUCAUUGAACAAGACAAGUACUGAAAUAUGACAAGCUUAAGAAGUGGCUUCAAUGAUUGAAUAAAUACGAAACAUGUAGCCAGGAGCUUUCUGCCAUGAAACUAAGAAGUGUCAUGAUCCUAACUGUAUCCAUGGCAAUCUUGUUAUUGUCACGUUCCGACACAAAGUUGGUACUGAAUGACCUAUUUGCUUUAUAGAUGACAGGCGCUUGAAAUCCUACAUUAUCAUUUCCUGGUCUAACACCAAGUUAUACUUUUAAAUGCUACUUAACAAUUAGACUAAACUCUAGCAACACGCAGUGACGAGUUGUAAAACAAAUCAGUUAUCAAAAUAAUCUAAUGGUAUAUCAUAUAAAGACAUCCUCAAUCUUUGGAAAAUUUAUAACAUAAUCAUCAUAACUAAUAACGAUUAUAAAAGACAAAUUUGAAGGGAUAAUACAUGCAUACUACAUAGUUAAUAUCAAGCCAAUAAAGAUGGCUAUUUUCAACAAACUUAAUGAAGGGUGAAUGAGAACCCAACCUCCUAACGGCAAGGCCGCCAAGAAGCUUGUAACGGAGCGAUUCAGCCUGAGCAAUGGCACAGAGCCCCCUAUUGUUCACCUUCUCGGCGUAGAGCUCAACGCCAUUCUCCGGAAAGUUGAAUCUUUUCUGCACCACCGAUGUCAAUUCCCUGAUCCUUCUUCCCUUCUCACCUAAACCCCAACCAGAAAAGCAUCAGACACUAAAUAACACCUUUCCAAGCCCAAAUAAUUGGAUAAAAAUCAGGAAAAAAUAAAGACAUAAUCACCAAGGACGUUCUGUGUGCGCGUCGCCCGAAUAAUGAUCUCGGUACGCAUGGGCGUAACCCUAACCUCCACACCCGAAUAGCCAUCCUCCGCCAACUCUCUCGUUAGCACCUCGUUCAACUCCGCGAAGAACACCCCAUCCGCCACAAACUGCGAGAAACGGGAAAAAAAUCAAAAGGCAAACAAAAUAAAAUCGCAAGCUCGGGUGAGAAGCCAAAUCGUGGGAAGGAAGGCAUUUGAAUGGGAAGAUUCGAGACCUUUCGCUUCUUACUCAUCUGGGUUGCCAUCUCGGAGGUUAUUCGAGGGGGAACGAACUCGCCGCCGCUCUUCGUAUGGUGUAGCGGUGUUGGCUCUCUGUGAAACCCUAGAGGAGGCAAAUAAGCUCAGCUUGGGGGCCUUAAAUAGUGGUUUAUUGUAAGGAUCGGACGGUUAGAAAAGAUUGAUGAUGAAUAGAGGGAUUAAAUGGACGAUUGGAGUUGAGACGAUCGUAGCCGUACACAUUAUGCAUAAUAAAUCACGCGUGAUGAUUUCGUUCGAUUUCGAAGGUUUUUUUAUUUAUUUUUUUGGAGAAUUUCGGAGCAAAUUAAUACGACUAUUAAGAAGAAAAAAAAGGCAAUCAUAAACGAAUUAAGAAUAAUCGGAUGUAUAUUUGUUUCUAAAAAAAAAUUCUUUUCUCGGGAAAGAUUUUAUGUUUUAUCAGCAUUUCAUUUGAACCAAUAUUGCAUGAUUUGUAUCAAAAUAUAUUAAUCCCAUUUAACCUUGUUUUGUUGGUUGCAUGCACAAAAUAAUUGUAAGCCUAUACAAUGAGUUCAGAAAUGAAGACAUAUUUAGAGAAACUUCUUUACUUGUUUAUAUAGUAUAAAUCGUAUUAUCAUGUAAUUGGUGAAGAUAUAUUUCCUUUAGGUGUCAUGCUUAUAUGACAUAUCUAAUAGGUUAUUUGUGUAUCUUUGAAAAUUAACAUGGAACAUCUAAUAGAUACUGAUUACACUAUAAUUUUCGAUCCUAAUUUAUCAAAAAAUAAUGAUCAUAUCAUCUACUAUGUACUAAUUAACUUGGUAUGAUUUUAUUUUUGCCAAAUUUUAUUUUUUUCUAACUAAGAAAUAAGGCUGAUCAUAUAUAAAAAAUUCCAAAUAUAAUUUAAUUUAAUUCUUAAUCAUUAAAAUGUGAAAUAAUAGUUCAUUUCGGAGUGUUAUUUUUAUUAUUUAUGGUUCUCCAAAUCAGAUUAAUUUUAGUUCUUGGGCAGGUUGGUGAGGGCACGUAUCCCAUUCUUAGACCGAAACGGCCGUAAAUAGGAUCGAACUGCCACAUGCUUCCAACGGUACACGCGUUACAGUAUAACAGACGCGUUAUUCCGUUAUUUUCUUUAUUUAUUCGAGCAAAAAACAAAAGAAAAAAAAGAGAGAACACAUACCAGAAACAGAAGCACUUCCAUUCCCCGUUCCUCUCUCUCCCCUCCAAAUUUAUGUGGUUCCACACCUGCCGGAAGGAGGCGGGGCAAGGCCGCCCUCGGUCGGAAACUCUGAUCUCCUUCCCCGCUUUCCAUGGAGCUGCGAUCUCUAACCAUGGUCCUGCUCCUCCUCUUCCCGUUCCUCGUCCCCGCCGUUUAUCCCUACUCCCACCUCUCUCCCUCGCCGUCGCCAUUCCCGUCUCCUCGUCGCACGCUGCCGUCGCCGACGGCUGCUGACCCUCCGCCGCAGCUUCCCGGUAACAAUGACGGCCACCGGGAGCACCCGACGGGGGUGGGUGCAUCGCGGUCCGGGAACCCCGAGCGGCUCAAUCUCGGAGAGAAGGUGGGGUUGGCGUUUCUGGCCGUCGCUGUGGCGCUGCAGGUGGCGCUGGGGGCAUUCCUGGUCUUCAAGAAAUCGCAGCUGGGGAAGUUGGAGCGACGCGAACGGCGGAUGGCGGAGAAGCUUUACUCCGCUGCUUCUUUGUGAUGCUUUGAAUUGGGAAUCGGAGUUCUUACAGUUCCGUGGAUUAAAGUAUUCCAUCGGGCAAUUGGGGGAAAUUGGAUAAUUUAGAAUCCAAUUCCAAUCGCCCGAUGCUCGAUGAUCAAGGUAUGUCCUUUUCCUUCUUCGUGCUUUAAAAUUGGUGUAAAUUCGAUGUCUUCUGCUCUGUAAUCAGGCAAUGAUUGCCAUGUAUUCCACUCCCUACCACACGAGUACAAAAUCAAAUGGUAAAUGCCCUUUUCCGUUGUCUGUUUCAAUUUUUCUUGCAUGUUGUUUUAUUUUUUUUCAUCCAAAAAUGUAAUUAACGCGAUAUAUAUAUAUAUACAUAUAUAUAUAUAUAUAUGGAAUUUUCAGUGUAGUGUGAGUUUAAAUAUUAAUCAUGCUUUGCUUCUAAUAGUAUAGGUAGAUUAGAGUUUUAUGUUGUACUUAAUUAAAAAAUAUAGAAGAAAAUGUUGCAUUUAAUCUGCUAUAGGACAAGCAAUAUGUCGGUAAAUAAUAUGAGAAAAAACUCAUUCUUUCAUAUGUGUGAUUCCAAUUGGAACAGGAGUUGAGAUAGGUCAACGAUUUUGAAUUGAUUUGUCCAUUCCGUCAAAAUUAAGAGAGGUUAAUUAGGUAUUUAGAUGGUGUCCUCAUUUACCUGCCUAAACAAACUCGGAAGUGCGCCAAACUCUGGCGGAGAGAGACCGGAAGAGCACCAGGCGAUGGCGACAAGCGGCGCGGCGAAGAAGUCUAAUCUCCUCGAUCACCACUCCGUCAAGCAUUUCCUCGAAGAAUCCGUCACCGGCGUCAAAAUCCUUCCCCCUUUUUCUCCGCCUCCCCCGUUUUCUCGAUCGCUCGAAAUCUCUAUCUAUAGGGUUUCUUAGAUGAAAAUGCUUUUCUCGGAUUCAGGUCGUCGGAGGACGUCAGGGUGAGCGACGUGAGGGUUGCUGAUCGGGUCCAUCAUCAUCGCCAUCUCGCUCCUUGCGCAGUUCUUCCCCAUGGCAUUUCUGACCAUACGAGACAGAAAUUCCACGGAUGAUAUGAAAUGUUACAGGAAAAUUACAUUGACAUUAUCUAAUUGAAUCUCGGAGGCAUUAAAGAUUCAUGUUCCCAAGAAGUUUCAGGUAUGCAAAUGCUCUAUCUUCAAAGCAACUGAGUCAUGAUCUGAUGUCAUCAGAGAAGGUUUUUUGAAGGGUUGUUACGAUGGUCUAGAUGUAAGCAAAGGCAAGCAUUUUUUUGCUUCCCAAGAAGGAAAAAGCUAUAUUACUUUACAACUCUUGUACAACCUGUACUGUAGGCAUGGCUAAUCCAUACAGUUCAUCAACUAUUGAGUUGCCAACUACGAAGGUAAGCUGGUAGCUGAUGAGGCAACCCCUAUGGGAGAUCACCUACUGAUGUAUUUAUCUCCCAUCAUACAUAUCAUUUGUUAUUUUGUUUUAGAUAACUAGUUAAUAUUUUAUUUUUUAUUAUUCCUAGUAUCGGAUCUGAGAUAUUAAUUUGUAAGGAAAACUAGAUAUCCCUCUUUUCGUUGGACCACUUAGAUUGAUGAAUUAUGUAUUAUCAGAUCUGAGAUAUCAAUCUGCAAUGAGAACUAGACACUUUUUCUUUCGUUUGACCACUUAGAUUAAUGUAUUAGGGAGAUUGAGAGAAAAAAGUUGAGAUGCAUAUAUAUAGCUCAUCCUGUCUAUUUAUAGGCGAGAGCGUUCUUCCAUCAAAGACAUCCCUUAAGGAAUUCUAUUAUAAUAUGAAUUUCUUUUCUAUCGGUGAAUACCCAUAAUCAGAAUUCAAUCAUAUCUAUAAUAUAUCUUACAUAAUUAAAUAGAAUCAUAUGAUCUAAGUUACCAACUACAAGGCAAGCAGAUGUAUUUAUCUUCGAUCAAACACAUAAUUUGUUAUUUUAUUUUAGAUAACUAGUUAAUAUUUUUAUUUUUUUUAUUAUAUAGUAAUAAAUUGAUGAUGUCGUAAAAGAAUAACGAAAGUCAAGUAAACCCGAAUAGUCAAAAUGGAACUCGAAGAAGUGACAAUUAUUUGCAAGUUGAAGAUAUUAUCAUGAGUUACAUGAUAAUUUAUUCAAUCAACUUAAUAUUAUAGUUUACCAAUCGAAAUAAUUUAAAAAGAUGACGACCAACGAUUGCUUCUUCCGGUUGAUAGAUAGCUGAUAGAUAUAUUUUAAUAUUUUAAUUUGGAGAAUAUUAGUAAUAUAUUUAAGAGUAAGACGAAGGGGAUUGACUGACGAGGUAGAGACGCAAUGGAGAACAAUAAAAAUGGUCAUUUAAAAAAAAGAAAUAUAGCAUCGUUUCAAAAAAAAAUAAACUUGAAGCAUUCUACAUCAAAUAUCAAAAGUUAGAGAUUUUUUCAAACGUUGAUCAUUAUUAUUAUUUACGGUGCAAGACGGGUAGCUUGAAGAACAACCUUUGCGUUGGUUGGGACCUGAGAGUCGGUGGAAGGACUACUUUAGUGCUUCAACGUCACUGAGAGUUGGUUGGGACCUCAAAAUCACGCAAGGAGAAGCGUAGCUUUCGAAUUACAUGGAAAUCGUAAUGCAUGCAAAGAAGAAGAAAAAAAACCCUGCAAUUUGUUUGUGGAAGGAAAGAAAAAGGCAGACUAUUAUAACAUCCACUAGAAGAGCAACAGGUUGCAUGGCAUGCAAUAAAGAAACAUCUUGUUUUGUCACAUGUUCUUUGGUCGAUUGAACUAUGUACGAUUAGGUUCUGUAAUUUCCAGCCUGCAAUUAAUUCUUGAUGUCUAUAUAAAUUCGUCAACAGCACAAGAGCAGACUAAUUGUAGUCAUUAAUCAUUCAUGUUCUUCUGUCUCAAUCUCAUUUGGUCUCACUCGAAUCUAUUCUAGAAUAUGUUUUAGGGGUCAACACUUUACCUACUAUGAAUCACUACAUUAAUAAUCUAUAUGUUCAGAUGGGGAUUGGAUGACUUCUACUUGGAAUUUUUUUUUGCAAAGUCGUCGGUGAAACCAUCACAUUUUUCUUCUGUUAAUGUGGAAAAAAAAAAACAGGUUGUAAUUCUAUGACAACAUAGUUAGAUAACUGUAGCUUUAACUCUAGCAAGGUCUCCUAACCAUGGCUGUAAAGGAAGGUUUGGAACAGGCAGUGAAGAAAGGAAUCCCAACCCAUGUUGGGAAAUCAACGGAGAAUAUUUGUAAUGCAAUAGUUUUUUCUCUUUCAUAAGGGAUUAUUUGGUCGAUCGAUCAUUGGUACGGCCAAGGGUUCAUAGCGAAGAUGCAUGGUUCGGGAGCGAGUUUGUUCGGUCGAGGUGUAAGCAUCGGGCCCUCCUUCUAGCGCCAAUCUGAUAAGGGACCAUUUAGUCGAUCAACCAUUAGAGUGUACUCUCACGAUUUUAUCCUUUAAGAGCAUGUGAGCUUCAAAAGACUUUUCUAAAGGUAAGAAAGAUCUGACGGACUUAUGAACCCUUGGUUUUCAUAUUUCUAAAUGACCUUAUCAACUAGAAAACAAGAAAGAUUGAUAGCAGUUGUAAUAAAACUCUUAUAUAUAUAUAUAUAUAUAUAUAUAUAUAUAUUUAUAUUUUUUAAUUCUAUAUUUUCGUAAUUACAGAUAUUUUAUAUUUUUAAAAAGAAUAUAAAGAUCGAAAUACUAAAAAUAAUAAUUAAUUAAUCUUUGGGAGAAUUGAGGGUUGGAUAGUUAAUUCCAAAGAUUUAAAGGAUUAAUAAGGAAAGCAACCAAGAAAGUUGGUAAGCUGUGGGCUCUCACACGCCGCUGUCCAAAGCUUGGCAGUGUCAUCUCCGGAAGCCAGCUGCAAUAUUAUAGCACAAGACACCCAAAGAACAGAGAGGUAGAACAAGCAGCUGCACGGAUCAGGCAAUGGAGAUCUCCGCCUGCGUUCUAGCGGCCUCUCUGCUCCUCCUCUCCUCUUUCUCUUCAGCCACCGACAGCAAAAGUAAGCGCGUCCUCUCUUUUUCUUUUCCUCUCUUUUUUAAAUGUCGGUGAACGGCUGUUCCUCGAUGUGGAUCUGCUGGAGAGCUCCGUUUCUGCUGAGAUCUGUGGAGCAUUGGCUGCAUUGGUCGGUUCAGAAGUCUGUCCUCCUCGUAUUCGAGUAUCUUUCAUCUGAUUCGCUCGCAAUGAUUUAGUGAUGGUUGAUUCUUAUGAAGGAUUUUUUUUUUCCCUUUUCCUGUUUAGCCGAUGGAAACUGCAUUAGUUGUAUAUCAUACCAAUUGAUGUGUUUCACUAAUAUAUGGAGGAGCAUUUCGAGGAGUAGAUUAACUUGGUGAAUUUAGAUGGUUAGAGGAUUUUUAUCUUGUGUUCUCUCAUGGCAUUUCUGUCGAAUCAGAGUUGCUUAUCUUUUUUGUUUCUACAGUAAAUCCAUUUAUUAGAUUCUGUGGGUGAUGACAUAUUUUUAGCUUCUGUACAACCUGAUGUAGGAUUUUCUUUUAUAUUUCUUACCUUACAAGCGAUUACUGAACUAGUCGGUCUAUUUUAUUUAUCUUCUGUUGCCUGUCUCCUCCCUUUUUCUCUUGUUCUUCACCAACUAAAACCUAAGAUAGUCAGUUGGCAUCAAAGAUUUAGGAAUCUGGUUUGGUUCUUCAAUGGGUGUGUCGAAGAUGAUCGGAAAAGAUGACAACCUUAGCUUGUUGUUGAGGAUCAAGGAUCGUAAAUUAAGUACUCAUUCAAGAUGUCUUUUGUGGAGCCAUAAUUACAAGUUUAUGACAAUGGAAAAUGCUUGUAAACUUUAGAAGUAUUAGUUCAGAGACAAUUAAUGGAGUCAACAAGUGAAGCUAAUACAUCACAGGAAACUUGUUUUGAAUAUUGUAGUGAAAGAUUCUCAAUCUUUCGGUUGAUCGUCAAACUUAAAGUCUUAUACAAUCAUCUUGUUUGACAAGAAAGAGGAUCAAAUGAGAUUGAUGGCCAUUUGUGAUGGUCAAAGGUCUGUAGUUUAUUUGCGAGAAAGAGAUUGAGACAUGUUUGGAAUUGUUAAGAAAACAAUUUAAAAAUUGAUAAAUUUGGCUACUGAAAACGUAUUUAUAAAUGCAUUUAACAACUUUAUCACACUGUGGUGGUAAACUGGACAAUAUGAGAAGAAUCUGUCGACUAGAAAGACUAAAAUGAACAGAGGAUCAUGGCGAAUGGGAUUGCAAACAUGUCUUGCAGAUGUUUUGGGUUGAAUUCCUACUGAUACCGGAUAUGAUGAUCUCUUUGCACAUGCAUUCACCUUUAAGAAUGUUAGCUACGAAAAUGAUGCUGAUCGAUUGUGAGUGAUUAUGUCACAUGGUAGAUGAAAUAUAUUUAGACCUUAGAGAUUGUAGAUCGAGCUAAAUUGUUUGGUUAAAAUAUUUGGAACCAAAAACAGGGACAGCUGCCAUCAGCUUGCAAUUUGUUGAAAGUUGACUAACAUUGACUAUGAUUUGGUAGAAUUUGGUUAGAGUCACAAUGGUUAGUCAUAAUUUGCCUGAAACUACUCUCAUUGGCUUAAACAGGCUUUGAAAUGGUUGGAUACAAUUGAAAAUCAGUCAAAAUAAUCUUUGGGGUUUUGGUAUCAAUUUGAGAUGAUACUAUGCAAUUGGAAUUAUGACGAGAAGCAAUUUUCAUAAUAUAAACUCUAUCUAUGUUACUAAAUAUGUUGGUAGCUCUAAGAUUGCUGUAAGAUCUGACCUGAAAGAGAGCAUACUGGAAGAAUUCUGUCACGAAUCGAGGUUUAGCCAAAAGGAGAAUUGUAUCAUAUUUUUAGCGUGCUGAUUGUGUUGUGCCAUAGAUCACAGAUAGAUUACUUUGGACUAUUCAAGCUAGAGAUAUUGAGACAUUAGGUGACUGGAUCAUCCAUUGCAUAUUGUAGAAGGUAUCUUUAGACCAGUAAAACUUCAUAGUGCCUGUCAUGUUUGUCUGUCGGGAGAUGUUGUUUGGGGAGGGGGAGUACAUCAAAUAGUCCAACUUAUAUAAUUCUAUCGCAAUGGUCGAAGAGCUUAAGCUGUUAGGUAUAUACUAAUCGUAUAGAUUUUGUUCUCAUUUUAUUAUUUUCUUGCGAUAUAGGUCUAACUAUCCUCACAUGUCUCCUCUCCGGCAAUCUUACCCUCAUGUGAGAGUCCCCAUUGAUUGUUAACAUCCCUCGUAUCAAAUUAAAUUUGCCAUCUGUAGUUGUAUCACAUACCGAUCAAGCAAUCUCAGAAUUAAAGCACUUACGUACUGACUUAACUACUUACCUUUCUCUUGUAUAGUCAUAGUCAUGCAGAAGGUUACUCUGACUGGUCCAUUACUCCUCAUUGCUCAAGCUACACCAUUGGCUAUGAGGCUAUCAAUUGGGGAGAUAUUAGUCCAGGCCAACACAUUGAUAUAGCAAUUGGAUGUUGCUACCUACCAUGAAAAACUUAAGCUAUUAGAUUAUGUGCUAAUACCAUGUCUUAAUUCUUCAUUAUUUUCUUUGAAAUAUGAGACCAACAAAUGUUCGUUGGUCAACAUGAUGAUUCAAGUGAAAGGAUGCAGCUGGCUCCGUCCCUGUCCUUCCAAAUGGAUGACCAAAAUUUGACCUAAUCACUAUCCAUGUAGAAAUACAAGGCUUUAGACCAGCUCAAAAUUUUUUAUCUGGGAAAGUUGCAUCUUUAUGUAAAGUAUAUGCUUCAUUUUUUUCCCCUUUUUAUACCGGGAUGUAUAUUCUAUGAUGGCCAAAUACUAAAAUAACUACUUGGGUGAGGAACAACUGCAGAAAAUGGUGUGAGUUAAGGCGAGAAUUUUGUUUGCAGUUAUAUGAAAGAGUUAGACUAGAUUGCAUAUGAUCUAAUUGCAGGAAGCAAUAUUUUUAUGAAUGAAAAGUUUCUCUUAUUUCAAGACUAUGUAUCUCUCUCUCUCCCUUGAUUAUAUCUUGUAAGCUACUUUAUCUCUGGAGUAAUAUAAUGUCCAAUAACAGGCAACCCAUCCCAUUAGAUCACUAAUCUUUUAAUAUUAUUAACAUCGGUUUCUCUUAUUGUCUUUCCUGCCUUCUCUCAAUUUGCUUUCUUUACAGACAAUCCUGCAGAUGAGCUUGUGUCAGUGAUCAACAGCAACAGAACAUCCCACAAAUCCCCCGCUCUCUUUGACAAUGCAGGCCUCGGCUGCAUUGCCCUGCAAUACAUCAAAGCCUACGAGGGUCAGUGUGGUGAGGUUGGGGACAGCAAGAAGCCACCUGACAGUAGUUUUAUCGAUACAUUCGCUCCCAAUUGUGGUGUUGAAGCUCCAACACUUGCUCCCAUCACCGGCCGGCUACUUGCCUGCCAGAGCACCUACGUCUCCCCUGAAGCGGCCUUCGAUAUCUUGAUUGAAAAUGCUCGGAGCCUGCAGAUUCUGCAUGACAAGAACCACACAGAGGUAGGAGUUGCUGUUAGUGGCACCGAUGGUGGAGCUCCCUACUUCUGGUGUGUUCUGUUUAGCAAUGGGACAAGGAACAGCAGCUUCGUGCUUCAGGGAGGAGUGGCGAAGACAGUCCGGCCUGGAUGUUUCAGCGGCAAUAACGACGACUGCAGCGGCGCCAGCAGCCUCAGCAGUGCUUUAUGGACUAUGGUGGCUGCAGCUGGGAUUGCUGUUGCUUAUGGUCUUGGCUUGUAAGUGAUCCAUCAAGGAGGAGGAACACACCAUUUGUUUCUUGUUCCAUUUGCUUAAUGGUCGAUCAUUACCUUAUAAGUGUGUUCUUCACUGGUUCUUUACAUGGUUGCACCUCCUUUUCAGGUGCAGACUACAGUGCAUUCCUUUUAAGUUUAAUUACUGUAUAAGCAUAAAAAUUAUAAUUAUAAGAAAAGUUUUAAUAUCAAAAAUUGAAAUCUUAUUCAUAAUUUACUUUCAAAUACUUAUUUAUAGAUAUUUUUACAAUCUUUGAAAAAUAACUAUCAAAAUAGCUGGAUCUCCUUCUUCAUCGGUGGCGGCAGCAGCAGCGGCGCUUGUGUUGCCAGAUUCUUCCUGUGGUCGACCGGGAGGGGGAAACUGAGCUGGAUCUUGCUCUUCUUCGGUGGUAGCGGCGGCGCUUGUGUUACCAACUUCCUCCCGCAGUAGACCGGGCGGGGAAGACUGAGUUGGAUCUCGCGCUUCUUCGAUGGCAGUAGCAUCGUAGCCGGCAGAGCCACCGCUGGUGAUGGUGCACGUCGUCACCGUGCUCCCGCCGGCAGCAGCAUGCCUCUUUGGGCUGCGGUCUUCGUUGCUUCCCCCCGUCUCAUCAUUAUGUGACUUCUCCUGCACGAUACUGGAGGCAAGUUGAUUCCUGCGCUUGCGAGUGUAGGCGUUUUCCGGCUUGCCAAUCUCCCCAGCGGAAGAACAAGCCUCAGCGUCGGUAAGGUUCUGGAAAGAUCUGGAUCUCCCGGCGUAGAAUCCUGAGAGACCACGCCUACGACCAAAUGAAUAAUUAUAACAUACGUUAAGAAUAAAAUAAUAUAACAACAAUAUAGAAAUAAAAAUAUCAUUUAAUACUUACGGAGACAAAAAAAAAUACAGCUAUAAAGAAGAGAAAAUUUAAAUAAUAUCAAGUACAAUGUAAAUAACAUAAUUUAUAAUUUUGUGAUUUUUUACUAUUAUUUUAUUUAUUGUUUAUUUUGCAUUAUUUUAUGGCAUGUGAUAUUGUACUCUUUUAUUUUUAUUUAUUAUCUGUAUGAUAUAUAAAAUCAAAUUACUCCAAUGUUUAUAAUGAGUAAAAUCAUUUUCUUAUAUAACUAAAAGAGCGCAGGCUCGAUUCGAGAACUCAGACAAAAGGAAAAGAAAGAAGAAGGACGCGGAAUCCAUGGAGAUCAAGAGCGAAUACCUCAUCGGCAGCGACUCCUCGAGCGCCUCCAAUGUAUCCAGCGGCCCCUUCGAUCCGCUCUCCAUCUCCGUCUCCCUCGAUUCCUCGCCCUCCGACGCAGAUCCGCCGGCCACAUUGUCGCUGUCCUGCCCGAUAGAUGACGAGCUACAAGAAUCCCCGUCGCCGGCCUUCGCCUUCCCGCACAUCCCCCGCCGGGGCGCCGCCCCGGAGGUCGAGCGGCGGGCGGCCGUCCAGUGGACGAGCCCGGGCCGUCCGAUCCCGCCCCUCCUCCCCGUAGCUAUAGGCAUCGAGUUGCCGCGUCCACCGGGUACCGACGGCUGGGAUUUCUCCGGCACACGAGAUCCUCCGAUCAACCGACUCCAGCGCAAGAGGGAGGGCAGCGUUUAAGAAGUGGAGACCGCCGCUGCGCCUAAUAUAUAGUUUCCGUUAGCAGUCUAAUUUUAUUGCCGAUGUACAGUGAGCCGAUUAAUUGAUGGUUAAUUACCUCAGUAAUCCUAUCCCCGAUGGGAUUAGGAUAUGAAUGGGCCAUUAAAUAAAUAAUAGUUUUGGUAACAAUUACCUAUUCAUAUUGCUUUAACAUAGGCAUUUCUUUUUCUUAUUCUUGUUCUUCCACUUCUAUGAUUUAUUAUUUUUAAUUAAUUGUUUUUUAAUUAUAAUUAAUAUAUUAAAGUAUAUUUAAUAUGAUAUAUUUUAAUAUUAUUAUAACUAAUAAAGAUCAGAUGUAUACUAAUCCGACUUGAAAUUAGAUAGAUAGACUUUGAAAAUAGUUUAUUUUGGAAAGAUGUCCUCCGUUAUAUAUAUAUAUAUAUAUAUAUAUAUAUAUAUAUAUAUAUAUAUAUAUAUAUAUAUAUAUAUAUAUAUAUAUAUAUGUAUNNNNNNNNNNNNNNNNNNNNNNNNNNNNNNNNNNNNNNNNNNNNNNNNNNNNNNNNNNNNNNNNNNNNNNNNNNNNNNNNNNNNNNNNNNNNNNNNNNNNNNNNNNNNNNNNNNNNNNNNNNNNNNNNNNNNNNNNNNNNNNNNNNNNNNNNNNNNNNNNNNNNNNNNNNNNNNNNNNNNNNNNNNNNNNNNNNNNNNNNNNNNNNNNNNNNNNNNNNNNNNNNNNNNNNNNNNNNNNNNNNNNNNNNNNNNNNNNNNNNNNNNNNNNNNNNNNNNNNNNNNNNNNNNNNNNNNNNNNNNNNNNNNNNNNNNNNNNNNNNNNNNNNNNNNNNNNNNNNNNNNNNNNNNNNNNNNNNNNNNNNNNNNNNNNNNNNNNNNNNNNNNNNNNNNNNNNNNNNNNNNNNNNNNNNNNNNNNNNNNNNNNNNNNNNNNNNNNNNNNNNNNNNNNNNNNNNNNNNNNNNNNNNNNNNNNNNNNNNNNNNNNNNNNNNNNNNNNNNNNNNNNNNNNNNNNNNNNNNNNNNNNNNNAUAUAUAUAUAUAUAUAUAUAUAUAUAUAUAUAUAUAUAUAUAUAUAUAUAUAUAUAUAUAUAUAUAUAUGUGUUCAUGCAUGUUGAUUGUAUCUAAUUGGUCGAUGUCCUUCAUUUAUGUGUGUUUCUAUUGAGAUCGGAUAAACAAUAAAAGAGAAUCUUAUCCAAAAAUGAUAUGGACAAUGGAACUCGGAACAACUAAGCCACGAUGGUUGUCUCCAUAUCAACUACAGUGUGGUUUUAUUAAAUUAAUAUUUGUUUGCGAUAUUAUUCUUGAUAACAUCUAAUGAAUUAGGAAGGAGAGUGUAAUCGGAACCUAAGAAACUAUUUGAAGGUCCCAACGAUAAGGUUGUUGUCCUCUAUUGAUGAAACAUUAUCUAGUCAUUUUGAUAAGGUGCUUGUCCUCAAUUAACUAUUAUCUUAUUUUAUUUUUGAUAAAGUAAAAUAAAAUUAUUUAUUUUCACUUUUAAAACUAUAUUUUUUUAAAUUUAAAUAUAAUCGAUAAUACUAUACUUUUACGUCUCUCUCUCUCUCUCUCUCUCUCUCUCUCUCUCUCGUUGAGCCACUGUUUAAAAGUUAAUAGUUAAAAGUUACUAAAUGGUGAGAAAAGGAGAACAUUAGAACAAGCUCAAAUGGAGCAAAAGAACAAGUAACCGAGUAUAUAUAUAUAUAUAUAUAGAACGAAAAGCUACUAGGUGUUGGGCUGAUAGCGUAUGGUUAAGCUCAUGAUUGGCUUUAAUAGCCCAUAGGCCAUCUCCCCUUUGAUUAAAUCCUAGAUCUAAUUAGGGAAGAAUAGGGGCUGCGAAAUUGAGACAGAAAAAAGGCAGCAGCAAGGGCGAAAAUUACUACAGCAACUUGAUUCAAAAAAGAGGAGAACGAGAUAGUAAAACAAGAUAAAGAAAGGGAAGAAAACAAGAACAACACAGUGAGACUAUUCUCAAUCAUUCAACAGUGUUUUCAUCUCAAGUUGGAUCAGAUCUAUAAUAAAUUUUUACUAUGAUUACUUCGAAAUAAUUUAGAUAUUAUGCACAGUGAUAUGAUCCUUGUAUCCUAAUUAUUCUCUUGUGAUUAUUGCUAGAGUUUAGGGCAAGAGAUUGAGAUUUGUAUAUUCAUUAUUCUCAUAGUGGAUUAUCUCUAGUUUGCCUCAUGGUUUUUAUCCUUCACUUUGAAAGGGUUUUCUACGUAAAUCUUGGUAUCAUAUUUGAUUGUGAUUUUCAUUUAAUUCCGCUAAGCAUACUAGUAUUUGUUCAUAUACAAAAGUUUAUUUCUUUUUAUAUCUCAUCAUCUGGUGUAUUCUUGAAAACUCACAACCAUUUAUGUUGUGUUGCUAGCUGUUGGAAAACCUAAUGACUUAUUACCGAGAACUCGUUCUAUCGUUCUACUCAACUGAUGCCCGAUCGUGUCCGCGUUUGGAAACUCUUCAUCGACUGACGGACAACCAUUAAUAGGCAUGAAUGCCAACGACUAGAAUUAAUAAAGAAUCAGAGACCUAAACGAAGAUAAAAGAAAGAACAGUACUUACAAAGGAAAAAAAAUGUCGAGGGUAGAAGACAGUGAUGAAACAAAUAUUGCUCGUGUGGUGAGUGGAAAGAAUCUUGAUAUGGUGUUUUUUCCCAUCCCACAACAAGAACGAAAGUUGCUUACUUACUAAAGAUGAGCAUGAUGAUAGAGAACAAAAGUUGUUUACUUAUUAAGUUACUAUAGACUUCCUAAUUUCAUAUUAUGAUUGAUUAUAAUAAUAAAUUUAUAUUGACAAGAUAAUUUAUAAAGAUCAAUAUGGAUUGUAUUAAAAAAGACUGUUAUGAUAUAUAGAAUGAAGUAUAACACUAAUAAUACAUAAUUGUUAUGACUCAUGUGGAUAAUUAGCUUUAAUAUAGUAUUAUUAUAUUUAUUGAUAUAUUUUUAUCAAAUUUACGGUCACGUAUAAAAUAUUUCAUAAAUUUUCAUAAUCCAAUUGGAUAAGAUUAUUUUCAACUAAAAAUUAUAUUUUAUUUAUUUUGAUAUAUAACAUAUAUACUUUAUAUUUUAUCAAUUAAUAGACCAAGUUGAAAAAAAUUAAAUUAUGUGAUCCUAUUUAAUUGAUUAAAAUAUACUAAAGUUCUAAUUGAAUUUUGAUUAUUAUUAUUAGCUAAUCAAAAAAAGUUCAUUCGUAUGAUUUCUUAAGAGAUAAACCUUAUAGGCAGUUCAUUCGUAUGAUUUCUUAAGAGAUAAACCUUAUAGGCUUGCGGGGGGGCACUUUGCCAAUUGAAUGACUUAUAGAAAGUCAAAUUGAUAAACCUAUAUAAUUCUCAUCCUUAACCAAUCAAGUCCUACUCUUAGUCCUUAUAAAAUCUUGAUAUUCACAUGGUAGCUAAGAAGAUCCAUGUUGGAGGGAUUCACGCCGAUGAUCAAUACAUAAAGGUUAAGAAUAAUUUAUAUUCCUCCUACUAAGCAAAAUUCUAUUUGCUCUGUGGCUUUUGUCGAGAAAAAUUAUCCUUUAGUAAAAAACGAUAAGCUACAUUGGUUAUUGAUUUUUUAUAAAUUUAAAAUUAUGCCAAAAAGGAAUAUUGAGCUCAGAGUUGUUGCUGGCUCACUAGUUUUGGUGUUACCAUAGCAUUAAAUUUCUUCAUAAUCGGUCAUCAUCGAUAAGAAGCAACGGACUUUAUCAUCAUUACAAAGGAGAUGAUGCAAUCAUUAUUCAUCGUCGUAAAGGAGUAAAGGAGUUCGUCACCAUCGUUCGUCCACAAAAAAGAGUGAGGAGAGAAUAGGAGUAUCAAUUGCCAUCUUCCAUUGCUUUUUACCUCAAAGCCGACUUAACCUAGUUUAACUCGAUCUACUCCGAAGAAUCCAACCCAAAUGGAUUGGACUCGAGUCAAAAUUCCGAUUAGACCAAAUCAACCAUUGGAUCGAUUAUGUUUGGCUUAGGUAGUUAGAUUCAAUAAAAUAAAUCGACCCAAGAUCAAGUGUAUUUUUGAUUUUUUUUAAAAAUAUCUCUUAGUAAACAUCAAAUAUGAGGGUGUCAUAUGAUAAUUUUUUUUUUUGAAUACUUUUUUUUGAUCAAUUAAUCAUUAAAGUUUGAUAAUAUUGGUGGUGACGAAAAGAUCGAUAAUAAUUAUUAUAGAUACAUUAUAGGCAUUGACAAUAAUAAUACCAUAUAUCAGAGAUAUCUUGAUAACCAAAUAAAUGAAGAAUCCAACAUAAAUUUAUUUUUAAGCGAUAAAGAUUGUCAUUUGUUAUUUGAACAAGGCUUAGGAUUUUGAUUUUGUUUUAAUGGUAGAAAAAGUUUUUAUUCAAUUAAAUUUAUCAAUACUAAUUUUAUUUUGAAAUAUCAAUACCAAUUAUCCAGGAGAUAUUGGUAGUGAAAAAACACAUCUAGAUAUAUUUUCUUUUUAGGAUACAAACUAAUUCUAUGAUCUUCUAGGAAACAACUGAUUGUAGUAUUAUCAACAAUAAAAAUAGAAUACAUUGCAGUUGUAGCUGUAGUUCAAAAAUUAACUAAAUGAAUUGAUGUUUAAUUUAGAUGUAUCAACCAAAAUAUUUUGUUAUAACUCUUCAAGUCUUAAAAUAUCUAAGAACUCAACCAAUCAUGAUAAAAAAUAAAUAUAUUUUUGUCAAAUAUUACUUUGUAAGAUAAUAAAAUCAUCAAGAUGAAAUACUACAAAAGUGAAUUGGAGAUUAAAAUGACACGUAUAUCCACGUGGCCUUUGUAAAAAGAUUUGGUUAAAAAGUCUCAAACAAAAUUUAAAUCGAAUUGACUUAAUGAUUUAAUUGUCAACCUAAAUCGAUAGGCAGAAAACUCCAGAGAGUUGACUUGUGCCUCCUCUUCCCUCAUCUGCCCUUCUUUGGCUCCGUUAAGGUGCCGUAUCCCCAAAUUCUGGUAAAGUGGUUCGGACCCACCCUCGGACGGAGUAGACGUAGAUUUGACGGUGAACCGACGGCUAGGAGGCAAUCACGGGCCAUCCCAAGCUCUGGCCACGGGGGAAACAAACCACGUGCCGCCGCCCCCGGAUUCUCUCGUAAGUCGUAACACACACCAUGCCCAAGUAUAUUGACCAAAACACCCCGCCCAUUGCCACUUCGUCGGAGGGCAUUAUCGUCAUCACGGACUCGAUCCCAUCAGGGCGCGCCGCGCGGCAAAAUCUUUUUGAAUUCCUCGCCCCCCGCGCCGCGGGCGCAGCAACGAGCGACGAGCCAAUCCCACGGAGCGGACUCGGAUACCCGAUCUGUUUUCGAAAAAAUUCCAAUUCGCCCCCUCCGCGCCAAACCCAACUCCCUCGACCUUUUAACAAUCGCCAUUCCGCCCCCCCCCAACCCUUCCUCGCCUGAUCUCGAUUCGGAGCCCCCGCUCUUUGCUGUCGACUCCGAGGAAGGAUGUCCUCCUCUUCUUCGCACCCGCUGGACUCUGGAAUGAGGCACCACGCCUACAGCAGGAAGCAGAAAUCGCUCGGCCUCUUGUGCGCCAAGUAAACCUCGCUUCCCCUUGUUCUUUCCUUUUGAUGAUGCCAUCCUCGGGCUUGUUGUUUGACGUGCCGUGAUCUGCUGGUUUCUAAAAGUUUUGUGAGCUUGUAUGAUCGGGACGGCGUUGACUCGAUCGGCCUGGAUGACGCGGCUCGGCGGCUCGGCGUCGAGAGGCGGCGGAUCUAUGAUAUCGUAAACAUCAUGGAGAGCGUCGGGGUGAGAGCUGGACUGGUUCCGAUGAUCGUUUCAUUUGAAAAAGUGAAAGAAAGAUGCAUCUUUUUAAUCUCCCUCUGGAGUUUUGUUUAGUGAACAGAGGAUGGUUUUAUUUUUUGGGGAUCUGGCAGGUUCUUGCGAGGAAGGCCAAAAAUGCGUACUCCUGGAUCGGGUUUUCGGGGAUCCCAAAGGCAUUGGAUAGAUUGGAGGUCUGAGCUCGUCAGAUCUAUCUUUCCCACUUUUGAUUUUGUUUGUAGCACAAAACAUUUGACGAUCUAGCAUCUUGAUCUGGAUUAGGAUGAGGCACGAAGUGGAAUUACUCGCAGUGAAGGAUCUGGUUUCAAGGUAUGGUUUGAGCUCUCCUUCCAGUUCCAAUUACUCGUAUCUGCAGCGCGGAAACAAUGUUCAUGUUAGCGAUCAAGUUCUUUUUGUUGUAAUAGGAGGAUUUGGAGGACGAACUAGACGAAAGUCCAGAUCUGUAUGCAGACGAAGGAGAUGAGAAACCAAGUCAAAUAAUUAAUUCUUCUUCUUUAUCGAGUGGUGCUUGCUGCAAAGCCAGAUCUGGUGUGUGUAUAUUACAUUUUUAGCUUUUUUUGUUAGGAUAAAAAAUAAUACUUUUGAAUUCAACAUAUUUAUGCCCUUAUUUGUUUUAAUUGUAGCGACAGCCAACAGAAGGGAGAAAUCCUUAGGCACGCUCACUGAGAAUUUUAUCAAGCUGUUUCUAACCACAGAUGUAUGCCCAUCGAUCCCUUUGUCCCAAUGAAAUUUCAUUGAUCCUUUCUCUUUGUUUUCUUACCAUUUUAGCUAAUUUAACUAGUUUUCAAUCAGCGGGACACAAUUUCGCUUGAUGACGCUGCGAGGCUGCUGCUUGGUGCCAUCCAUGACGCAUCUUAUAUGAGAAGUACUCAAAAUCUUUCCUCAAAUCUCAUGUUCUUCAUUAGCAAUGUUGGUUCUUUUUCAUUCAUAUUUUCAUUCUUUAAGAUAAUAAUGCAGCCAAGAUCCGGCGUCUCUACGACAUAGCGAAUGUCCUGUCAUCUAUAAAUCUAAUUGAGAAGGUAAACUCCUAUGAGUUACUAUGAGUUCAACAUUGAAAACGAGAAAGACGAGAAUGCAUUAUGUUUCUUAUCUUUCGUUGUGAUCUGGGUGUUGCAGACGCAAGUUGAAGCACGGAAGCCAGCCUUUCGCUGGUUGGGAUUGAAGGAGGGUAAGAUGAAGGCAGAUAAUAAUGUUACAGUUGUUGCACCAGGUCCAAAGAAGCCGACGAAGAGAGCAUUUGGAACUGAGAUCACCAACGUGGACUCGAAGAAGAGCAGGCCAAAUUUAACAGCGGAUAAGAAACCGACCAAAGUUCAGACGAAAGAUGAGGAUCUGAACGAGGGUAAUCGCGUGGCCCUGAAGCACUUGGGAUCCAAGAGUGGGUACGCUUUCGGCCCUUUUCAUCCGAAUGGAGUGAUGAAACGGGGAGAUGAUGUUGAGGUGAAGUGCGGGAAAGGAGUUCAAGACUGGGAGAGCUUGGCUGCUUCCUUCCGCCCCCAGUAUCACAACCAAGGUCCGAUCAAUAUCUUUAUAUAUUUCAUCCGCCAAAUUUCUUCUAUUUGCACCGAAGGAUAGUUACCUUGUUACAACUAUUUAGUUGCAAUUUGAUGGCUUUAUAUCCUUAUGAUCUAUGUUCUUGAAGAAAUGUCAGCACUUGAUUGAAUAUAAAUAUGUGCAUGUUCCCUGUUAAAGUUUAUAUUGAGUUAUUUUUAGUAGUUUAAGUUUUUGGGUCUCAUUACAAUAACUUGCUCUUAGAGGAUGAUAAGGUAUAUAUUUGAACCCUUUUCGAAUGACUUGAAUUUCUGAAAUUUGUAUUCAUCAAAUCAAAAUAAAAUCUUUAAGAUUCCCUUUGCAGAAAAUCUAUAAAGGACAGAUUUUGUUUCUUAUGCAUUUAUUGUUUAAAUUCAUUUAGUAAGUUGGGAUGAAUCUUUAAUUUGAAAAGCUUCAAUUAUUCUUAAUCCAAGCUCAUGCCAUAUGAAGACAGUCCUUUAUUGAGAUUACACAAUCGACAAAGUUCUUUGUUUUGCUGUAUUUAUCCUCUCGAUGUUUGAUCCACAGAGUUCAUCUAUCUACUAGCUUUUAAGAUGCAAAUCAAUUGGUCACUGUUUUAUUUCCUAAAAAUUUUGAGUAUUGCAAAUGGAAUUUUUUUUUCUGUGGAGAUAACAACCAACAUGAAGCUUAAUUGUUUGUUUAUAACUUCUGAAAUUUGGAAAGGAGGAAUAAUUACAUACUAAUAAUGUUUCAGAACCUAAUGGUCAUAGAUCUAAAUUUUUAUUUCAUCUAAUUAUCACAUUCCUUGCAUCUUGGCAUGACAUUAGCCUAACAGUUAAUCUUCUCCUGUAGCUUUGAGUGAACUGUUUGCACAUUACGUGGAGGCAUGGAAAACAUGGUACGUGGAGGCCACUAAAGGAAGCAGGAACCUGCAACAGCCUUUCAGUAAGCUCGUCACGAGUGAUCUAUUGUAGCAAAAUUGAUAUGAUCCUCCACUUCAUCUAUCUGCUUACUUUCACCAGUUAACCUGCGCAACAAUUUCUUCAUCGUAUAUGAACUGGCCUGAGACUGCUUUGGGUUCUAUGUAUUUUCUUCGUACAAGAACCCACAAAGGCUAUAGAUGAAAGAAAAAUACAGUUCAUGGGUUGAUUCUUGUCAACCAGCGCAUGUACUCAUCUCCGGUCCUUUUUAAUGUUACAUUUCAAAAAGAUUCUAUUUGGUUUAAAAGGUUAGCUUUCCACAUUGCUGGUUUCCGGAACAUAUGUUAAUUGUGGAAAUGUGUGCAAUGGUGAAUAUGAUCCAAUGUGAAAUCUUAGGGUUCUAAUUUCACAUAUUUCGGAUCACCAAACUUGUGUGUUCGUGUGGCAGAUAUAUCAUGACCAGCUUUUAAUCAGAAUGACAUCAAGUUAACUUAUUGAUGCUCAUACUUCAGUUCAAUCUAAUGAUGGAUCUCAGAAGUCUUAGAUCACUCUUUUAAGUGUAAGAAUGAUUGUUUCAUUAAUGGAUGAUAAUAAAAUUUGACCUGCAUGUUUUUGAUGUUGGCUCUUUGUUCAUGAUUAAAGUCUUAUAAGAGAAAUAGAUCUUUUGUGCUAUCUUUUUGGCAACACUCGUUUGGCAUGGUGAUGAUGUAUCAAAUUCAUUUUUAAUAAAUAUUAAGAUUUAAAUAUUUAUUAUUAAUUUUCUUACAUUUAAAAUAGUAAUAUAAUGAUGAUGUAUGUUUUUCAUUCAUAUAUCAAAUAUUCAAAGUUUAAAUAUUAAUUUAAUGAUGAGAGGACACUUAAUCCAAAUGUUUCCUUCACAUGAGAAGAGAAACAAAGCGAAAAUAUGAACAUAUGAUUGAUUGAAUACAGUGGCUGCCAUGGUGAGUUAAAAGACAUGCCAUGCUUCUUGGUAUCCAAGGCUGCCUCCAUGAAAUCUUCGGAAGCAGAUUCGCGUUCACUGGAUCCAGGAAUGGGUGGGUUUGAUGAGGUCAUCGACUCAUAGAGCCGCUUCAUAACGACACCUGCCUCUUAUGAUACGUGCCUAACUGAUGUACGUAUAUCUAUUCUUUCGCAAGUUUCUAAUUAACUUCUCCAGACGACAACAGAUGUAAUUAUAGUUUGAAUAUAAAAAAAUAAUCUUAAAAUUUAUAUAAAUAUCUAAAAUACAUUAACAUUUCAAUUAAUAUUUCAACAUUGUUAUUCAAAUAUCAUUGUUUUAAGAAAUGAGGCAUUAUAUAUAUAUAUAUAUAUAUAUAUAUAUAUAUAUAUAUAUAUAUAUAUUCAGCUUCUUCUCUGCCUCGAGACUCUGAACCCUCGUGAGUACCACAAAGGCAACAAUGGCCGUCCUCGCCCGCUCCUCGUCGCCAUCCUCUCUCUCAAAGCUCCUCCUCCGUCCACAUUCCUUCUCGUCAUUACGCUCCUUUUCUUCCUCCGCCGCCGAUGACCAGCGCGUCCUCACCAUCGAGACGAGCGUCCCCUUCACAGGCCACCGGAUCGAUCCCCCCUCCCGCGCCGUCGACACCACCCCGGCCGAGAUCCUCUCCUUCUUCCGCGACAUGGCGGUCAUGCGUCGCAUGGAAAUCGCCGCCGACUCGCUGUAUAAGGCCAAGCUCAUCCGCGGCUUCUGCCACCUCUACGACGGCCAGGAGGCCGUCGCCGUCGGCAUGGAGGCCGCCAUAACCAAGCGCGAUGGAAUUAUCACCUCCUACCGCGAUCACUGCACUUUCCUCGGCCGCGGCGGCACCCUCCUCGAGGCCUUCGCCGAGCUCAUGGGCCGCCGCGAUGGCUGCGCCAAGGGCAAGGGCGGCUCCAUGCACUUCUACAGAAAGGAAGCCUCCUACUACGGCGGCCACGGCAUCGUCGGAGCCCAGAUCCCUCUGGGCUGCGGCGUGGCCUUCGCGCAGAAAUAUUCCAAGGAUGGCUCGGUGACCUUCGCCUUGUACGGCGAUGGGGCUGCCAACCAGGGGCAGCUUUUUGAGGCGCUUAACAUGGCCGCCUUGUUAGAUCUGCCGGCCAUCUUGGUUUGCGAGAACAAUCACUGUGAGUGUUUCUAUCGUGCCCUUCUAUGUGUGUGGGUAGGGAGAAGGACGCAGACGGUGACUGAUGGAAGUUUCACCUACCUACCUUGUUUCCCAGAUGGAAUGGGUACAGCCGAGUGGAGAGCCGCGAAAAGCCCAGCCUAUUACAAGCGUGGCGACUAUGUUCCUGGUCUUAAGGUCAGGAAAGGAAGUCCCUUUCUAACUUUCUAAUCUUCUUGAUGCAUUGGUCACGAUCUGAAUUCUAGGUAUUCUAAGUCACUUUCUAACUUUCUAAUCAGCCACUGCCGCUGACCUAUUUAACUAUAUAGCCCUUUCGGACUAACAGUAGAGGCCUAUUCAAUAGUAUUUCCUUUUUAUAUAGGAUCUUGGUAACAUUUUGCUUUUAGCACCAUAGAAGCCAUGGCAUUUGGGAUGUUGUGCUUAAAAAAAUGGUGGCUCAGUGCACGAGGGGUUCACCAAUUUGGGGUGGUCAUCGCAUUCGGCUUUACCCUGCAACUUCAUGCAGGGAAACUAUUCCCAUUACUCAAACCUUGUGGCAUUUUAGAUUAUAUUCCUCCUUGGAUCAUCUCUUGAAUCAUAUUGCUAAAUGAGUUCUUUCUCUGUUCGUUAUCUUCUUGGAGUCUUCUCUUGUUAAAUUAGGGUUGUAGAUACUAUUCAACAUUCUGUGGCAGAGGGUGGAAGAGCAGCGGUCAUGAUGUUAAUACAGUUUCACUUACUUUUAGCCUUUUUUGGGUCAGAUUAAGUUGCUCAUUCAGAUGUGAAAUACCUCAGCACUUAUUGAUCUUUCUUAUCUCUUGCUCUUUUGGUGGAAAGUGAAAAAAAAAAAGUAGGUAAAAAGGUUCACAAACCGUGAACUGAUUGUUCAGGACUUUUAUGCACAUGAUAGAUGAGUCAUUCUCUGAGACAUUUGUUUCAAACUUGACAAUAUGAAAAGACAACACUGGAAAUUUGAUUUUGCAUAAUUUGUAGGAAAUUUAUUUCAAACUUGAUGAUUAGUUCAAGUUGAAAAUAACAUUUGAAAAUUGAACUGCAAGGGUAGGUUGGUAAGAAUUACUCUAGUAUAGUCUUGAUUGCAGAGUUUGUUUAAAAGGAUCAUUUCCUGAUCACUAAUUUCAGACUGACUUGGAUCCAGCUAAAUAUGGGAGUGUGUCUAACAAUGCACUCUUUGUAUCCUUUUUGUCUUCCAAUUUUCUACUCAAUAUCUUCGUGAAAUGUACUUUAGCUUAGUUUGUUCUUCUAAUCCUAGAGAAAUUAUCAGUAUGAAUCCAGCCUUUUCUGAAGUUUGUUUAUUGAUACAAGAAGCUAAACAUGAGUUAUAUUAUCUGGAGCUAUGUCUACAUGGAUGUGGAGCUUUUCUUCAACAGAGGACCCCAGUUGAGAAAACCCAUGUAUAAUAUAAGUGCCCCCAAGGUAGAAAUUAUGAUUGAUUCAAUAACAUGGCUGGAACAGUAAGAAAAAUCUGUGUUGGUCCCAUGCACCAUCCCUAAUUCUUGUGUUCCUCUGGCACAUGACUUUUUAUGGGGUUUACUUCUGUGGCUGCUUGAAUGACAAUCAGUUUGACGACUCAACAUGCUUGAUUUUUUUUUUGUGGUGCUAAAGACCACGGAAAGAUUAAUCUUGAGGCUUUCAAUGCAUUCAAGCAAUUGCAAUAGUAUAAAUUGAAAUAAGUUACUGAGCAUUUAUUGAUAAAUUUAGAACUUGUAUUGGAGAAGGAAGUAGUUAAUGUCAGUUAAAAAUGUUCACUUGGCUUGGUGUCCGCUCUGCUUACUAUGAAAGAACUGAACUAUUUCGAGUGAUGACCUAGUCAUGUCCCAUUAUCUGUGCUUCUUUGGGCUCAAAGACAUAAAUGUGUCUUUCAAUUAUUCAACCCAAGUGUUUGUUCUCCUAAUUGAUUGCAAUUAAAGUCAGCAAAAUCUUAUAUGGGGUCAACUAUAUGGAUCUUUGACACAAUGAAAGAUUGAGCUCUAACAUAGUCAUUGUUGUUUAAUGUAGAAUUCAACUUUCAACUGGAAACAGAGGGAUUGUCUUUGUGAUUCUGGAGGAUGGAAAAUACAUGGUUUAAACCUUUUUCAUGUUUGAGUUGAUAUUGAGAUUUACCACUGGAUCUGAUCCAUGAUAGAGAGUCUAUAUUUGUUACAUUAUACGUGCUAUUAUAAAUGUUCCUGAGGUCUGAUCAUUUUUGGUUUGGGUCAUUACCAUCCAGGUUACUGGUCAAAACUUAUAUAGUUCUAAGUGGACCAGGUCUCAGAUUAAAUUGAAUUGGACUCGACUCAUUGACCCCUCUUUAUAGCAAACAGUGACUAUUCAUAAAAGGUGAUUGUAGACAAAUAAGCUACAUAAAUGGAUGUUAAUAUAUUUUUCUAAUCAACUUGUAAUGUUCAUCUUAUAUAUUAUAAACAAAUGAUGCUGCUAAAGUAUGCAUAUAUGGAUAUGUUGUACUUUUUUAUAUUGCAAAUGUAUAUGUGGAAGCCUAGCUAUAUGAUAAUGUUAUAUGCACAUGUUAGGAUCUUAAUAUUUUGAUUGCAAUUCUGGUUCAUCGUUGCAAGAUUUGCUUUGUACAAUUUGCUGGUUGUGAAUUUUGAUUUUCUUCUAGAUUAUCAUGUUGUUCACUCUAUUUGUAUUAGCAACUUCAUUGCCUAUGCCCGCAACGUAAUAUAAACUGUAUCCUUUAGAUAUUAGGUUCUGUUGAUUAUAUAAAAUUCCUUGUCAGUAUAUUGUUUUUUUUUCAUAACAGGUUGAUGGAAUGGAUGUUCUUGCUGUGAAACAAGCAUGCAUUUUUGCUAAAGAAUAUGCUUUAGCUAAUGGACCCAUUGUGAGUAUAUAAUCAACCUUUUUAUUUGUCAUGCUUUAUUAGAGAAUUUUUUUAUGUAGCCUUGGAACAAACUAUCUUAUGGUUUGUGUGUUUGGGAGAUUAUAGAAUACUUGAUGUUGGCUAACUAUUAUGUCAGAUAUAAUAGUUUAGUACAGAUUAAUUUAGAUUAAUGAAGAUCCAUGAAGCAUGAUGAGCUUCGCCUUUAAUGAAUAUGUAAUCAUAAAUAGAUUUUUGGUGUAAAAUGAGGACUUCAAACAUAAUAUCUGAAUAAUGUUUGGUCACAAUAUCAUGCAUGCCCAAAGAAUGUGCUCUAUUACCAAUUUUGUGUAAACUUGUAUCAGGAAGUAUUUAUCCUUUACGUUAAAAUAUCUUUAUCAUUUAUUUUAUACUAUUAAUGUAUCUAUCCGAGCCUGUAUAUGGUGAUAUCUUAUGUCUCCUGCAUAUAAUAGUCACAUUUUAUUCUGUCAAAUCCUCUUUGCUGCAUUUUAGUCAUAGUUCUGAAUUUCUGAUGUUGUAGGAAACACAUUAUGACUUCUAUAAUUUGUCAAUUAGAUGUGUGAAGCCCCUUGCCGGAUCAGAGUGGUCCAUGGCCACAUCCAACGUCCUGUCAUGGACUUAGCUGAAAAUUCUCUACUAUCUUCUGUGGAUUGCAUGUCCUGGUCCUCUCUGAACAGAAUGCAGCUCAUGCAUGCGUCUCUGGUGUACAUGUGUGGCCUGAUUUAGAAAGGAAAUAUUUAAUAAGUUUAAUUCAUUUCAGUUUACAUGGCCAUCAAUUUUUAAAUCUCUGAAUCAUGUUGCUGGUACUCUGAGGUAAAAAAAGAAAGGCUGUCAUAUGUGUGGGCCCUAUUUGAAAACUCCACUUUGACAUAUAAAAAAUACCAAUUUGAGUCAGAUUGUCAGAGUAGAUUGGCUAUGAAUUUGAGGCAGAGCUUAAUCUGCUUCCAGGAGUGAUACCCUCAGUAUUUUAGGAAAAGGAAGUCGGAAGUUCUGGCAUCCCUCUGCAAGUCACAGUCUGCAGAAAUCACCAUUGUAGAUCAUACGUUUUCAUGAUUGAUGAACUCAACAAAUCAGAUUGAAGACCAUACUUGCAAUGAAUGAUGGAAGAGAGAUUUUUUUAAUUAAAUAACUCUGGAGUCCUCUAUCAUAUCCUCUGACAUAAAGGACUCCCAAAAUUAUAUCAUUUAAAUAAAAGGUCAGUUAUUCUGUUUCUGCAUGAUCCAGACCUCUUGCAUCUUUGGCUGUUAAUAAUAUGCAUGUUCUACAAUCUUUAUAUUGCUGGUGAGAUUCUUCUUUCAUUCUAUUAAAACAUGUCAUGUUCAUGAUUUUUAUUAAACAUUUUACUUUGACUUGUUAUCAAUUUCAAAAAGCAUGUCAAACACUGGGACCAUAAUAGAUGUACUUGGUGACUUAACAAAAAUGGAACACUACUUUGAACCAUCAUUGGACAAUUGAUUUGAUAUGAAAAACUAGUUGAAUUGUUAUAUUUUUAGCAAGCAGUGAGUAUUGGUUUUUCCUAGUCAGCACUUAAAUUUCUGGUAUUCAGAUCUGGAAUGGACAUGUUUAAUAUAUUUUGUACUAUGUUUAAUAUUUUAGAUAAUUUCUAGUCUUCCCUUGGAGUGAAGUUUCUGGCAUUGUCCCUAGUCAACAACUUCUGCCAAGUGGUUUGCUUUUCUAUCUUUCGGAUGAUCAGUAAAAUUUCUUUUCUUCUUUAAAUCGCAUUCUUAAUCUUUUUUCCCCUUGAAGUUGAUGCUGUUGGCCUUUUUAUCAUUCUCUGUUUCAUAGAGUUGUUUUUUUUUUUUUGAGUGUCCUAACUCCUAACUGCUUUAAGAAAAAUCAGGACAUCAAUUAUUCAAAUGUGUUGAGAUCUUUAUUUUUUGCUGAAUAUGGAAUCAACCUAGAAAGCCUGGUGAAUUGGCAUAGAUGAAGAUUUCACAAUUUUUGGGACUAAAAUGUUGUUCUAACUUGUGGGAUGUAUAGUUUUCUGGUUACACUUCAUCUUCCCUCAUAUUUCCUAAAUAUUGGUCCUAACUGUAAAUUGUUUGUCAUUGUACAUCAACAUGGUUUGUUUAACAUUGUAUGGGUACAUGGCUCGAUUCUUGUUCCAUACCCUUUGCAUGUGUAUACAUAAAUUUGUGUGGAUAUAUCAGACACAUAACAUUGUAUGUGUACAUGAUACAUAAAUUGAUGUGUGGAUAUAUCAUACAAUCAGCUGUAUACAUAGUUAUAAGCUCGUGUUGAUAUAAAUUAGACAAUGGAUGAAGAACUCAUAUUUUUCUUCAUAUACUGGUAUCCAGAUUCUUGAAAUGGAUACUUACAGGUACCAUGGGCACUCCAUGUCAGAUCCUGGAAGCACAUACCGCACACGUGACGAGAUCAGUGGUGUAAGACAGGUCAGCUGAUCAUACCCGGUUCACUUACUAUUAAUUGAUUUUUUGAGUUCUCGUUUUAAGAAAGCUGUUUUAUAUUGUACACAGGAACGAGAUCCCAUCGAGAGGGUUAGAAAGUUGAUAUUGUCUCACGAGCUAGCUUCUGCCUCUGAGCUGAAGGUUUUAUUCAAUUAUGUUCUAGAAUGAGCUGCUUGUAUUUCCAGAAAUUAAAAAACCAUAUGAAAAUAUUGAGAGUCUACAGUCGUAUCAAUCUCUGCAUUUGAUCUUUUUGUCCUUUUGAUCAACUUAUGCUUCAUGAUUUGUCAGGAUAUUGAGAAAGAAGUUAGAAAGGAAGUAGAUGAUGCAGUUGCUCAAGCAAAGGUCAGCAAGUGACUCUGAACUCGUCAUAAGUUUUACUAUGCCAUGCUCUUUGAUAUUAUCAUGGUCUUGUUUUAACCUUUUCUUUUUUAAUUCCCAAACUUCAGGAAUGCCCUAUGCCUGAUCCAUCUGAGCUCUUUUCCAAUGUGUAUGUUAAAGGUUUUGGUGCUGAGGUAUAUGAUUUUCUUAAAUCUUUGCUUUAUUUUUAUAAAACCUAUCUUUUUGAAAUUUAGAUUAUCAUUAAUGAAGAGAGUUGACAAUGCAUAUUGAAUAUCUCGAGUAACAUGGAACUUCAGGAUCUAGCAUUCUCAUUGUUGCUGUUUCCGGUAUUAGUAAGGCAAUUCAAACAAUCAUAUGUAACAUAUUGGAGACACAAUUGCCAUGUUUCUUAUAAGCCCCAUGGGUCUUGUAAAGGAGUUACAACAGUGUUAUCAUACAUCCAUAUUUGUCAUAGGCCCCAAGAGUCUACUAAAGGAAUUACAGUGUCAGGUGCAGUAUAAAAUUGAGAGAUGUAUGAAAGCCAGCGAUAAAUAGCAGAGCUAGUUGACCUUUUUGAUCAAUGAAGACAUUUUGUGUUGCUGUGGUUAUGGAUAGGCAAACCCAUUUGCGCAGCCAAACCAAGAUGAACUGACCCUUUUAGCCCUAUUUGACCAAUCUUGAUCCGGUGACCGUCAAGCAUAGUUUUCACAAUUAGUUGUUCUCAACUGAUCCCAUGUUUACUUCUCCCCAAAAAGAUUAGUUUGUAGAACAGAUCUGGAUAUGCCAAUCUGAGCCCACUCAAUGCAGUGGAAAGGUGGCUGUGUAUACGUUUUAUAUAGAACUUAUGAUGUGGGUUUGUUUUUAAACUUCCUGAUGGUUCAGUGAACAAAGCAACGGUUAUUGUCUAAAGUGGGCAACUAUGGAACUUCUUCACAGAGGAAUUUAUUUGGCUGAUAUAACCAGGAGAAAAAGAGAAGAAACAAUCCACUAUGAAUACAGUUACCGAAAUUUCAAUCGAGUAUUGCUUGCUUAAACCAUCUCCUUAGAGUUUAUUUUGUCAGUGAUGGAUCAAGCACCAUGCUCAUUAUAUACUAUAUAGUUAUUUCAGUUUAAUAUUGGCUUGUUUUUCAUCUUAUUCCUUGCCAAAGAUACUAGUGAGGAUGCUAAACUCUUCGCCAUCAAAAAGGAAUAUAGACCAUUGCCUUAUGAUUUUUUAGCUUUGAUUUUUCUAUCAGUUGCUGUACACUAUUUGUUCUUGCAUUUAAGGAAGAGGGCAUGUUCAAGAUCUUUUUGGGCACGAUUCAUUUUGAGAAUUUAUGUUCUUACUGUGAAAUAUUACCUGCCAUCAUGUUAGAGGACAAGGAUGAGCUGUGGCUAUCGAGAAUAAGAGACCUGUUGAUUCUUAGUUAAUGGCCAAGGAUGAGCUGUGGACGACGUUUGACUGACCCUAUGAUUAUGAUCUUGUCAUAGUAAACCUACAUACAUGGUCAUAUAUCGAAUCAAAGCAGAGGAAGAAUCAAGUAUGCAUCGUGCAGCUGGAGUUGGUGUUAUGCUGAUAUGAGUAAAUUGAUUUGGACAAGUAAAUUAGUGACUAAUUUGUAGUUCUGAUGCCAUGAAGGAGAAACGUGGUCGGUGAUAGAUUACUCAGGGAAGUCAAGUUCAGAUGUUGCAGGAACGUUAAGCAUUGUAGAAUAAGAUUAAUAGUAGUCUGGAAGGCCAAUAAUGCCCCUUUAUGAUGAAUUAUACUGCAAGAUCAAGUUUUUAAGUGCCCAUCGCAUGAUUCACUUAAAGAUCGAUGAUGAACUUAUUGUUGAUAUUCUCUACGAGAAAUUGGGCACUCAUCAACCUUACCCGACAUAUUUUUCAGCCAUUAAGCUGUUUGACUGCUUUUCGAACAUCCCAUGUGUUUUGUGAAAGGAAAAAGUGUGGUUGGCAAAAUUUGCAUGGUAAAUCAAGUCAUCUUUUUUUUUGUCGAUGAUCAUCAUUUUUUUAUUGAGUGCUGAUUCUGUAUGCACUGAUUGUAUUCGCAUCAUUUCUCAAAAGAAAUUUUAUUGCUUUUUUUCCUGAAAAAAGAACUGACUUUUCCCUUCCCUCCCCCUCUUGCAGACGUUUGGUCCAGACAGGAAGGAGGUGAGAUCUGUUCUUCCCUGAAUCAGAUUGCAGUAAGCACAGCAACUCCUUUCAAUUAGUGUUGUUUGGAAAUAAGAGGGAGGUGAGGCAGCUGCAGAUAGCCGACAACGGUAAACAAUCUGUCGUUUUUAUCUACUCGGUGUUUCUCCACAACUUAUGAAUCUAUCUGUGGUUUUCUUUGUAUCUUUUGGUAACGAAAAUUGUAAUAUUUCUUUCUUCUUCUACAGCAACAAUAAAUCUUUGUCUUAACCAUUUGGAGUUGGCUAUAUAAAUAUUUGUUUUCUUCCUCAAGCAGGUAAUAUAUGAUUUUUUUAAUUUAAAAUUUGAAGUAGCAAUAAACUUAUUCGAGUUUCUUAAGUGUAAUGAAUGGUUUUUUCCAAAAGAAGACUUCGUUUGGAAGUUCCACGAACACAAAAGCUCACGUGGGAAAGAACUCGAAUGCGUCUCAUACACACAUCAGGAGAUGGGAGAGAGAUGAUACUGUGCGGGUAUGGAAUGAGAGAGAAGCCGUGAGGAGGUUGACAUGCAUGGGACUUCCCGAGAUGCCUUGCGUGCGAAAUGUGCAUACGAGGUCGAGGUAGAUGCGGCGACGUAGAUCACCGGCCGUUCAUUCAACUCGAAGGCUUUGAUAGUUGUGGAGAUACGAUUAACUAUCAUGGGACGGUUACGAUCUAAAAGCAGCGUUCGUUGGUUUACGGGCAAAUAUUUCCGUGAACACAAUCAUUGACAUCCUUCUCCGCCGGCUCAGCUCACAACACUGCCACGUGGUGGUGGCGCUUGUCCCCGGUUUCCUCAAACCAGCAAACGGAACGUCAAAUCCGGACAGAGCCAACCGGAGAGUUGGCCACAACGGCCACAACAAACAUGCAAACAAACAAACGGCAACAGCAAUUAGCAGCAGCAGCGUGACUCCGUCGCUUCCAAUUUAGCUAAGCACCCACAUAAAUGACCUCGCAUCCCCGCCCACCACCACCUUCUCCGGUCUUCUUUUUUCCGCUUUUUCUCUGUGUGGCCAAUUAAAGAUUCCUACAACACGAUAUGGCCUGCGGACAAAAGAAGACUAAUUCUCCUUCUCCACCACCACCAGUCCAAGAAAGAAACGCCAUAUCUUCCUCUCUCUUCUUCUUCCUCCUCCUCUUCUUCUUCACAUCCCCCACCGGCGCCGCCUUCUUCUUUGCCCUUGCACCGCCUACACCCCCUGCCCAUCUUCGCUUCGAGGAGGCCAACCAGUUCCACAACAGCGACAUCUGCCCGUCUGCCUCCGCCGGGGUUGGCCGCGCAACCGCCUGCGACCCCUCCUACGUCCACAUCGCCAUGACGCUGGACUCACACUACCUCCGCGGCUCCAUCGCCGCCGUUUACUCCAUCCUCUGGCACACCUCCUGCCCCGACACCAUGUUCUUCCACUUCAUCGCCCCCGCCGGCGGCCACGACGGGGGCGAUGAUAAACUUCCCAGCCUUCUUGGCUCCAUCGUCCGCUCCGUGUUCCCUUCCCUCCGAUUCGAGGUGUACACUUUCCAGGAGGAGCUCGUCAGCGGCCUCAUUUCCUCCUCCGUCCGCCAGACCCUCGAAAACCCCCUCAACUACGCCCGCGUCUACCUCGCCGACCUGCUCGACCCCUGCGUCCACCGCGUCGUCUACCUCGACUCCGAUGUCGUCGUCGUCGACGACGUCCGCCUCCUCUGGGACGACGCGGCCGCCCGCCUCGCCUCCGCCGCGGCCGUCGUCGCCGCCCCCGAGUACUGCCACGCCAACUUCACCCGCUACUUCACGUCCGCCUUCUGGGCGGAAGGCGGGGCUCGGGUCUUCGCCGGGCGGCGUCGCCGGCCUUGCUACUUCAACACCGGGGUGAUGGUGAUGGACCUCCGCAGAUGGCGGGCCGGGGGGUACCGGCGCCGGAUCGAACGGUGGAUGGAGGUGCAACGGGAGCGGCGAAUCUACGAGCUGGGCUCCCUGCCGCCCUUCCUGCUGGUGUUGGCCGGGGAGGUGGAGGGUCUGGAUCACCGGUGGAAUCAGCACGGCCUCGGCGGCGACAACCUCACCGGAGAAUGCCGGUGGCUCCACCCCGGUCCCGUCAGCCUGAUGCACUGGAGCGGGAAGGGGAAGCCAUGGGACCGCUUGGACGCCGGCUCCCCCUGCCCCGUCGACCAUCUCUGGCAUCCCUACGACCUCUUUAUCCGGCCAUCCUCCGGGACCGACAUCCUCGCCUUCUUCAUCCUUUAUUGGUCUUCGUAGUCCUUGGCGUGUUACGCAUUGGCAUUCUUUAUUCCUUUGUUUCCAUUCGUUUAGGGGCGGAGAAGGCAGCUCGCCACCGCCGGCAUAACAAUGUACAGAUCAGAACAGAACAGAGAGCGAGAGAGAGAGAGAGAGAGAGAGAGAGCGGCGAUUCAUCCACCGGUUUGGUUCGUUCUUUAGCUUGUUUUUAGGGGUUCAAAGAUUAAUUUGAAAUCGCUUGCUACAUUUAUGUCGUCCGAUUCAUUCAAUUCAUGUAUAAACGGAUGCAUUCCAUUGUAUUUUGGUCUGAACAAUUGACUGAUCUUUGUCUACAAUUUUAUCACGAUGGAAACGGGGAGGAGGGGGAAUAUUAUGGUUGGUGGGAGGUGGGGUCCAAUUAAUGAUGCUCUUCGGUGUCAGCCACGUCUCUCGUACAGGCUGGAUAUGUCUGGAUGCAACUAAUUAUAUCCGCAGGGGAGGAUAGUCGCCAGCUGUGCAGUGCAGACACUACGAGGUGCUUGCGGUCUCCACUCCGUACACGUACAUGAAGCUGACGCGUAAACCGACAAUGCAAACUCUCCUCCUUGCAUUUACGUGUAAACACGCAUAUCAGAUGAUAUUAUAGCAUAACAUACUUUGUCGUGUUUAGCAUAUUAUACACAUCAUGUCAUGUCAUGUCAUUUCACAUUCAAUUGCACAUCAUGCCUUUGACAACACCCUCGGUUGUAAUAGUAACAGCAGCUGUACAUAAAUGAAAUUAAUAAUAAGGUAGGGAAAUAGUAUACCCAGAAUUACAACUCAAUGCAAGAAAAACAUUAUUUAUUGAGACGAGGUGAUGUCAUUUCUCUCCAGCAUUAUCCACCCAUGUGAUGAUGAUUCACGAAACAUGAUGUCACCGCUAAGAAUGACGACACGCAUGCGGAGGAGGACGAGAGGUGUGAUGGAUAGUGGCGACGCGCUCGCGAGGCGUACGUGUCAUGACUUGCGAUAACAACGAUGGUCUCUUCAUCAUUUAUAAUCGCAGCACCUCAUACAACAAACCGUCCCAAGAAACUCUUUUCGCUGGAAGUCAUCGAGGGCAAAAUCCUUCCUCCGUUUUGGUCUUCCUAUUUCCUCUUUAUUAGGGUUUUUUUUUUUGUUUGCGAAGGAAGGGGGUGACGAUCCUAUGGGUUUCGAUGCGAUGGCCAACGGCGCUUCGGUUCCCGUCUUGAUCUCACGGGACGCCGCCAAGAAAAAGAGGGUGAGGAGGAGAUUCGAAUCGGGUAUCAGGAAAAAGGAUCACAUCUCGUGGAUAAUAUAUCGAAAUCGUUCUCAUCCCCAUCUAUUUGUUUGUGUGUCAGACGAAUCGCUCGGCGAAAUUGAAGCAGUGCAAGCUUGAUGUACGCCGCGAGCAAUGGCUGUCUCGAGGUUCGAUUCCCACGUACAUCGACUUUUAUUGUACUUUUUAGAUCACUCCUUUUGAUUUUUCUUCCUUUUUCUUUUCUUUUCCCCGUACUUGGGAUCAGCCAACAGCAAAGACGAUUGCAAGAUUUUGGCCGCGGCCAGCUCUCCUCGUUUACCCCAUCCGCCACGGCCCCGGGUGGACGAAACGGAUUCGAGGACGAGGGAGGAAGAUACGAUCUCGCAUGGUAACGACGAUUCGGAUUACCCAAUGCCCCACCUUCGCCGUGGUAAUAGAAGAACUUUAAGCAGCGGAAGCAGCAUCGAGUCUAGCUCUUCAAGUGUCAGCGACGCCGAAGACGAGGGGAUCGAUAAUGUAAGGGGCGGUAACCGGGUCCUUGAUGACUGGGAGGCGGUUGCCGACGCCUUAUCUGAAGCCAAUGAUCGUGACGGCCUUGGCCCUGAUCCGGUAGUGCCUGCUGUUUCCGCCGGAUUGCCUUGCGAGCCUCCUCGUGGCGGGAGCACCACAAAGCCGGAGCCCAUUCGGAGCGCGCCCAGAGCCUGGAGGCCGGACGAUGGCUUUCGGCCACGGAGCCUUCCCAGUAUCUCGAAGCAGUGGAGCAUUCCGCCAAACCAAGAUCGGCACUGUUGGGCUUCGCCACAGAAGGGCGUGCUUUCAACGCCUUGCCCGUGCCCUAUCUGUUGUGAGGACUUGGAUCCCACGGACUCGAGCUUCUUCCCCUGUUCGUGUGGCUACCGUCUCUGCCUCUUCUGCCACAAGAGGAUCCUUGAGGCCGAUGGGCGUUGCCCCGGUUGCAGGAAACAAUAUAACUCCAUUUCGAGUGGAGCGUUGGUCGUGACCACCGUUGGGCCAUCGUCGUUACCAGUCCGGAUGCCCCGAUCUUUAAGCUUGCGUUGCAGAACUUGGAACAGGGAGCAUUAGUUUGUUGUGAAAGAUAUUGGUAGUGUCUAAUUAUUGGAGGAAUCCUUGAUUUUUCCAAUAGAAUGAGAUGUGAAUAUAAGCAUAUACAACGGUGUCUAGGAACAUCGAGUCUAUCUUUAGGUUACUAUUUAGAAAGGUCUAGGGGUAUGUGUGAGAACCUGUCUUUGUUGCUAAUUUGGAGUUCAGAAAUAACAGUCAAAUUAAUUUGCAAAUGUGAUAAUAUAUGACACUAUUAUUUGCUGUUAACUUCAAUUCUUUGCUCUCCAUUAAGUUCAGUGUAUAGACCGCUAUUUGCAUUUGUAUGUCUAUGAUGUCAUCUGUCCAUUAUUUUAUCAUAGUCGAUCUUCAUGUCCCCUCUAACACUGGUAAUUUGUUACUGUGCAGCAGAUUGAGUCUCUACAUGAUGCUCCUGAGAGUCAUUUUCCUAGAUAGAAAAAGGUAUCUUUCUUUCCUUUGUUUGAUCUUUUUGUCUUCUGUCUGGUAAUUUUAGCUAUCAUAUUUUGGCUAAACUGUACUGAGUCAAUUAUACAUGCAGGUUAUGUUGAUGUAUUAAAAUGUAACUUACCUUGUAAAGUUUUGCAUUGUCAGUGAAUCAUGUCUGCUAGAUUUUGAAGGAUGACAUGAAAAUCCAUAUUGCAUUUUUUCGGGAAAAUCUUGCCCUACUUUGGUUGUUUUAACAUUUCAUACCAAGUGCUGUUUUUGUACUUAGGGGUAAUCCUCGAUGUGAUGAUGCUGUAUUUUAUUUAUUUUAGAGUACCAUAAUUUAAAUGUUAAGUAGCAAUUUUUGAGUGAAAAGCAUCUUUCAUUUUCCUGUUGUUCUAGAAGCAAAUUUGCAUUUUAAGACGGAGCAAUCGUGGAAUUAACUAUUACCAUGUUCGAGAUCUUUUCUGUCUUACCUGUUGAUUUAAUUCAUGUGUUAGCAGUAGUUUUGCAGCUAUGGGAAUAAAUUUCUUUUAUCUUUUAUAUUGUGCUGUCUUGUUCAGUCAUUCAUCUAGAUUCUGCUUGCAAGGUCCUUCCUCUUGUUGUUACUGUAACUGGAUGAGUUGGCUCAGAAUCACCAAUCAACUGUGAGCAAAGUGGUCUGUGAGGUGGUACAAUUAAAUAAACGGCACAUAUUCUUUAUUCACAAGUAUUUUGGCUGCUCUGAAGGUUUCAAUAUUUCCAAGUCGACAAUUCUGUAUGUUCUAUCUGUUGUGAUAUCUUCAUCUGAUAUGUUUUCAGGUAGAACAACACUCCUUAAAACAUAAUGAUGCUGGAUGCUUGAUACAAGCGCUUGACACGAUCGAAGAUGUCUCAUGCCCCCUGGUACUUAAAAGUGGUGGUUUUGAUUCUUUUUUCUCUAGACACCUAUGUUUUUAUUUGUAUUAUUAUUGAUGAACUAAUUGCUAAAAGUAAUCCUUAAAUAACUAGCACACUUUUGAAGUUUGCGUUUUGUAGCUCUGUGAGCGAUGUACCAUUGACCAUUUCAUACUGGUAGUAUGCUUGAACUUGUAAGCAUGAUGUUGUUCAUACACCUUGUACGUUCAGAUCUAUCUAUCUGAAUUAGAUAUUGAUAUAUUUAUGUGCUAGAGGUUGCUAAGUUGCCAUGUUUGACAAAUUUAGUGCUGUAACAAGGUCAUUGAAGUGACUUCCUCUCUCAUUUUUUUUGCCUCAUUGUAUAUAUAUGUAUACAUAUAUAUACAUAUGAUCCUGUCAGAGUUUAUAACGGAUUUACUCAAGAGGGAUCAUGAUAAAUUUUACACAUGUUUGACUGGUGAACAAUAGCACGAGACAUGGCAUUUGCUCAUUUUGUCCACUUUGAUGACACGUUUAAUUGUUCUUAAUUUUUAUAAAAUGCAUUGGAGAGAGAAAUUUCAAUUGGUGUGACCACUCCUGAUUGGGUUUAUAUAUCAGGUCCUUAAUGAUGUUUAAGAUAGUAUACUGACCUAAGUUAAUUUUGCUCUUGCAAGGAUGAUGGAACUGGACGUGUCUAUGUUGUUGGGGCUCGCAAGUGAAGUUUUUGAAGAGUCACAGCAAUCUUUGGCGUGUGGGACACUGGACUAUCUACGUGGUCGUAAGGUCUGCAACACCAAAUUUCAGAAAGAAAAGAAAAAGAAUAAAUCAUAGUAAGGUCUUCUUUCUGUUUUGUUGUAGAUGCUCGGCGUUAAACGAACUGAAAGAAUUCUUCCUACUGGUAUUGCAUUGACUGCCGUGGGUGAGGUAGUAGAUAAUUACGCAAGUGAUUGUGAUCAUCGGGACUUUGUUAUUGAGUAUAAGAAUAUUUGGUAUUUUGAAUCAUGCCUUCAAAUGUACGCGUAUUUGCUCAUAGCUUAUACGUGUAUUUUCUUGUAUUUGCUCAUAGCUUUAAAGAUGAUGUUGGGUCAAUUUUAGGUGUCCCCAAAGAACAUCGAUCAGUUAAUCGCAAAUCGAAUUGGCUAGGGUUGUACUUUGUAGUUAUUGUUUUCGUUUUCAUAAAUACUUCAUUGACGUUUGUUCUGUAUGUAUGUAUGUAUGUGCACAAGAGUUGCUAACAGUAUGAACGUAUUCAACCUAUGCACUUCAGUAGUUAGGUUCAUGGAAUAAAAUGAAGAGGUUCAUGGAAUAAAUGUGUGCGACUGCAUGUUCGUGUGUUUCUUCCUAUUGGGUUUUCAUUAUUAGUUUUGGAUAUUUGAUGCAGGAAUUCUCUUUCCAUUUUUAAUUUUUUGGUGGGUGCAAUUUUGUGUCUUUGGUUGAAAGAUGACUACAACAGGUCAGGUCAUCGUGUAGUCGUCCACGUACGUAACUCACUGGCUACCGUUACGGAUGACGUUAACAUUUGCUUGCUUUUGAGAUUAACGAUGUGAACCCAUUUCAUGAGAUAUAGAUAUCGAAGAAUCACGUAAACAAAAGCAUCGUCCCUCAAAAGUCAAAAGCAGAAGAGGAAUCCGAUGCCAUGAAAAGAAACAGACCAAAAAUUACUUGGCAUCUCAGCAAAGCAUUUAUCGCCCUGAUUGGUUUCGAUGCUAUCACAUCGGCGUGCCGUCCCUACUUACUCUAUUCUCUCUCUCGCUCUCUGUCUCUCUCUCACUCGCAGUCUCACACACACACACACAACAUAAACCUCGCUAUUAAAAACCCCUUCGGUCAUCUUGUGCCUCAGUCUCCAACGAACAAAGAAGCAGCUGCCUCCGAGCCCAUGGGCGUGUGCGAAAAGCUCUUCACCGCCCUCCACUUGAAAGCCCGUCGGGACUCCGCCACCGAUGUCACCAGUAAACCCGUGAAAGAACCUGCGGAGGCGGUGGGGCCUCGACCGACGGCGGCGCCCAUGGAGGAGCUGCAGCACCAGCAGCAGCAGCAGAAGAAGAAGAAGAAAAAUAUCAACGAAAGGGCAGCAGAAUACAUCAAGACCGCGAGGAUCAAGAUCAGGGCAGCUUCCUUCAGCAGGGCACCCACCUCCAAGUAGUACAGAUCUAAUCCCAUGGCGCGAAAGACGAAGCACCGAAAUCUUUAAUUAAAAUACCCCUCUCCUGUUUCUUUGCGUACCUAUCAUCCAUCGUUUGAGAAUAAUGGUAUUGUUGUUUGCUUUCAUCACUUCCUUCCCUAUGUUUCGUUAUCGUCGUGGCCUCCUCGGAUAAUAGAUGUGGGCGGGAGGGCGUUAUUAGCGUUCCCAAAAUCCAAUAAUACCGACAUGCUUAAAUCGAUGUCCUUCCUUUCAAUAUCGUGGUCUGACGAAAAUGGGCCGUGUGAAAGGCUGAGGCGGCCCAAAUGUGCAGGGCUUACGGCGGCCCGACUUUACUCCGAUCAUAGGCAGAAAUCGUACGAUCCAAAUGUGGUUUCUGCUGUCGAUUAAAAUUGGGAUCAGCCUCGAGCACCAAAUCGGAUGCCUGACAACUGCGCCUACCGCUAAUGCGGGGGGG
rnacentral:lncRNA from 1 species